rnacentral:lncRNA from 1 species
UUUUUUUUGGUUUUUCCAAGGUUUUUCAAACACACAAGAAGAAAGCGAGAAAAUAAAUUUAACAUGGAUAAUACAAUGGAAAAGUGUGGACACCGACAACUGGAAUGAAAUGUUUGAAGAUGAAUGUAAUGUCGGUGGAAAACCGUACACCCCCAAGCUUAGGCUUUUGGCCUAACUUGGUAAGCGGUCAGUAGCUUGGAUAGUAGUCGGAGUGGUAGCUCAUGGAGGCUCUUGGUGCAGAUGCCUCAGCCUGCCGUGCUGCCUCAACCGCAACGUUGUGGGCUCAGGCCUCGCUCUCAAGAACGAAAUAUCUUCCCUUGCUGUGAUAAUCAGACAGAGCAAGCCCAGGCAAAUAUGUGUGCAUAACAGAUGCUUGGUUAAACAACAAAUUAUAGGUGAAAUUAUGAAUAUCUCCUUUAAGGAUCUUAUGACCUUUCAUAGCAUCAAAGUCUAAAUACUGCGUGGGUAGAAUAGGAUCAAAGGGAAAAGGUGAAACACCGAGCUCUCUCGCUAAACUCGUGGCAUAAAUUCCACCAUAGAAAUAGCCACUAUUAGCGUUGUGUUGUAACCUGCGUGCAAAAAUAGCCCCAAGAUUAUAACUUCUAUCACCGGUGAGAGCGGUGCGUAUGAGGCUCAAGUAUGGAGCAUAAAGUGUACUACAAUCUUGCUUGCCUACUAUACAUUUUCCAUUAAAUAAAGCAAAGUACUGAAUUGCGGGAAAAUGAAUACUCUUUAUUCUACCUUGCGUCACUCCCCUCGUCUCACCGUAGCAAAGACUAGUCAAGAAUGAUUGGUACUCAACCCUCGGUGGUUCGUCAAGCGAACCCCAGAAUGGGAGCUUGCAGUGGUGAGCAAAUCUCUCUAGUGAAAAGGUGAAUGGAUUUUCAUACAGUUUAAACGACACCCUAGACUCACGUGGAUGAAAUUUAAAUUCUUUGACAAAUGAUUCAGUGAGAGUGUGGUGUUGAUCGCACUUAUCUGAAAUGUAGGGACCGAGACCGGCAUUGUGAAUAUAUUGCUCAAAUUCCUCUUUAAUGCCCACACACACCAUAUAAUCAUCGCAUUGCCAUAGGCAUGUUUUGGUGGCGGCAUCUUGAAUGGAACUUUCACUUGGUUCAACAUAAGACCGGCGAGCAGAGUUGUCACUAGAAGAUGCCCCCGAGGAUCUCCUCCUCGAAGAACUCCUUCCAAAUAGGUUCAUCAUGUUCACGUACAAUUUUCUGAAAAUUGUUGGGUGACAAAAAUUUAUCAACAAAACUUUGUACAAUUGAUAGCAACUACUCAUAGGGAUACAUAGAGGCCAUAGAAAGCAUUGAAACUACUUAGAACUCUAAGAAUUCAACAUGCAAGCUCAUCUACAGCAGCACCAAGAGUAGCUAAUUAUUCAAAUGUAAACCACUAAAACAAAAACUAAUUGGACAAACGGUGGAGUCACAUACCAAGCAACAAUCCCCCGAAACAGUUUCGGAAACGGGGCUUCGAGCAAAGAGAUCGAAAUCCGCGGGUUUGAGAACAAGAACACGAGAGAGAGAGAGAGCAAUGGAAGUGAUGAUGUGGUGUGAAGGGAUAAGUUAGGGCCCACAUGGGGACCACAACCCACCAGGUCGCGCCUGGGGGUCCUGGCGCACCCAGGUGGGUUGUGCCCACCUGGUGCACCUCCCUAUGAUAUUAUUUGCACCAGAAAUUCUUAAAUAUUCAGAAAAAAUUGUAUUAAAUUUUCAGGGCAUUCUAAGACUUUUAUUUUUGGGUCAUUUUUUAUUGCACGGGAAAUUCAGAAAACCGAGAAAACAUGGCAUUUUAUUUUAUUUAACUAGUAGGAACAGAAAAUAAAAGGUAGGGACAAAAGGUAGUGUUCACUAAAUUCAUCAACUUCAUACCUCUAAAAAAUGAUCCAUUAAUAAGGUUGAUCAGGUCUUAUUAACAACCACUUUCGAUUAACAUGAAACCGAAGAACUUUCGUAAAUCACUAAGUUACCUCGACGGGGAUAUGAAUGUCCCCAACAAUAAGCAUUUCAUAUUUCUUUUUAAUAGUAGAUAGAGGUAGUUGAAAACUUCCAAUAGUGAUUAUCGGAGAUUUUUCAUUAACAUUAAUACCAUUCACUUGGAAUUGUUUCUUCGGAAAGUGCACCGUAUGCUCAUUACCAUCGAUAUGAAAAGUGACCUUGCUUUUAUUGCAAUCAAUAACAUCCCCUGCAGUAUUCAUGAAGGGUUUACCAAGGAUAAUCGACAUGUUGUCGUCCUCGGGCAUCUCAAGUAUAACAAAGUCAGUCAAAAUAGUAACAUUAGCAACAACAACGGGCACAUCCUCACAAAUACCGAUAGGUAUGGCAGUUGAUUUGUCAGCCAUUUGCAAAGACAUUUCAGUAGGUGUGAGUUUAUUCAAGUCAAGUCUUUUAUAUAAAGAGAAAGGCAUAACACUAACACCAACUCCUAAAUCACACAAACCAGUUUUCACAUAAUUUCUUUUGAUGCAACAAGGUAUAGUUGGUAUUCCCGGAUCUCCAAGUUUUUUAGUUACUCCAUCUUUAAAAGUAUAAUUAGCAAGCAUGGUGGAGAUUUCAGCUUCCAGUAUUUUUAUCUUAUUGGUGAUGAUGUCUUUCAUGUAAUUGCAUAAGGAGGCAUUUUCAAGAUAUUAGUCAAGCGAGUACGCAAAAAGACUGGCCUCAGCAUUUCAGCAAAGCGUUCAAAUUCUUCAUCAUCUUUCUUUUUAGUUGACUUAGGUGGAAAGGGCAUAGGUUUUUGAACCCACGGUUCUCUUUCUUUAUCGUGUUUUCUAGCAAUAAAGUAUCUUUUAUCAUAUUGUGUAUUCUUAGGUUGUGGGUUAUCAAGAUCAACAACUGGUUCUAUUUCAACAUCAUUAUCUGGUUCUUUUUCAUUGUUUGGUUGAGUAUCUUCAUGAACAGCAGCAUUAUCUUUUUCAUUAUAACUAGGCGAGUGUUCGUUACCAGAUUGAGUUUCAGCAUCAGAGAUAGAGAUAUCAUUAUCAUUAUCAGGAGGUUUUUCUAUUUCAGAUUCACUAGAAGCAUGCAAGGUCCUAUCAUUUUUCUUCUUCUUCUUUUUAGAAGGACUAGCUGCAGUGGUGUUGUUCCUUUGUGAAUCAUGUUCAAUUCUUUUUGGGUGUCCCUCAGGAUAAAGUGGUUCCUGAGUCAUUUUACCUCCUCUAGUUGUAACUCUAACAACAAAGUCAUGUAUAUUAUUAUUCAUUUCAUCAAGCAAUUCUCUUUGAGAUUUAGCAACUUGUUCUAACUGGAUUUUAACCAUAGAAGCAUGUUUUCCAACACCUCUAACAUCAUUUGAGAUUCUAAAUAACAAGUCACUGAAGCGAGCAAUCAUAUCAGAAUUGUAUUUCAGCUAUUUCAUAACAUUUGCAUUGAAGUGAUCUUGUUUUCUAAUGUAGUUUUCAAACUCAUAAAGGCAUUGGCUAGGGUGCAUAUUGUGAGGAUUGUCAUUAUCAUUGAACUUCAUUAGAGAAUUUACCUCUACCACCUUAGGAAGCAGUGGUGUAUUAAGCCCAUGUAUUUCUUCAAUAGGAGGUAAAAUUUUAACAUCCUCAGCUUUAAUACCUUUUUCCUUCAUAGAUUUAUUUGCCUCUUGCAUAUCUUCAGGACUGAGAUAUAAUAUACCCCUCUUCUGUGGAGUGGGUUUAGGCGGUGGUUCGGGUAGAGUCCAAUCAUCAUAAUUUUUCAAUAUAUUAUUCAAUAAUUCUUUAGCUUGUCCAACAGUUCAUUCCUUGAAAACGCAACCAACACAACUAUCUAGGAAGUCCCUAGAAGCAUCGGUUAGUCCAUUAUAGAAGAUAUCAAGUAUUUCAUUUUUCUUAAGAGGAUGAUCAGGCAAAGCAUUAAAUAAUUGCCAAAGCCUCCCCCAAGCUUUUGGGAGACUCUCUUCUUUAGUUUGCACAAAGUUAAAUAUUUCCUGUAAAGCAGCUUGUGUCUUAUGAGCAGGAAAAUAUUUUUCAGAGAAGUAAUAGAUCAUAUCCUGGGGACUACGCACACAACCAGGAGCAAGAGUAUUGUACCAAGCUUUAGCAUCACCCUUUAAUGAGAACGGAGAUAAUUUGAGAAUAAGAUAAUAACGAGGCUUCUCAUCAUGAGUAAAAAGGGUGGCUAUGUCAUUCAACUUAGUAAGAUGUGCCACAACAGUUUUAGUUUGAUAACCAUGGAAAGGAUCAGAUUCAACCAAAGUAAUUAACUCUGGGUCGACAGAGAAUUCAUAAUCCUUAUCAUCAAUAAAGAUAAGUGAGGUAGCAAACUUAGGAUCAUAUUGCGUUCUAGCAUUCAAGGAUUUUUCUUUAUACUUGCAUAAUAAUUUCUCUAGAUCAUCUCUAUCCUUACAAGCAAGAAUGUCUCUAGUUGUCUCCUCAUUCAUAACAUAGCCUUCCGGUACCUUAGGCAAUUCAUAUCUAGGAGGGCUAGUUCUAGUAGGUGUUUCAAGAUUUUCAGUUUCAAGCUCAUCAUCAGUUUCAACAACAUCAUGUUGGCUUACUCUAGCAAUUUGUUCAUCAAGAAUUUCACCUAGUGGCACAUCAUCAUCAUCAAGCAAUGUACUAGCACAAUCAUAAGCAUCAUUCAUACCAGAAGUAGCGUCAUCAAUAACUUGCGACAUAUCAGGAUUAAUAGCAUGUGGUGGUGGUGCAAGUUUACUUAUAACAGAAGGUGAAUCUAAAGUAGAGCUAGAUGGCAGUUCCUUACCUCCCCUCGUCUUAGAGGGAUAAAUCUUAGCCUUAGCAUCCUUCAGAUUCUUCAUAGUGAUAAAUUGAUAAUAAUCCCAAGUGACUCAACAAAUAUAGCUAUGCACCCCGGUAACGGCGCCAGAAAAAGGUCUUGAUAACCCACAAUUAUAGGGGGUCGCAACAGUUUUCGAGGGUAGAGUAUUCAACCCAAAUUUAUAUAUUCGACACAAGGGGAGCCAAAGAAUAUUUACAAGUACUAGCAGCUGAGUUGUCAAUUCAACCACACCUGGAGAUUAAUUAUCUGCAGCAAAGUGAUUAGUAGCAAAGUAAUAUGAUAGUUUUGAUAAUAGUGGCAGCAACAAUAGUAACGUUAACAAUGAUAGAAGUAAUUUUGUAGCAAGUGCAAUAGUAAUGAUAGCAGUAGUGACUUAGCAAGAACAAUAUAAGAUAAAUUCGUAGGCAUUGGAUCGGUAAUUUGUUAGAUGAUAUUCAUCAUGUGACAGUCAUAACCUAAAGCGAUACGGCACUAGCUCCAGUUCAUAAAUAUAAUGUAGGCAUGUAUUCCGUAAAUAGUCAUACGUGCUUAUGGAAAGAACUUGCAUGACAUCUUUUUUCCUACCCUCCCAUGGCAGCGGGGUCCAAUUGGAAACUAAGGGAUAUUAAGGUCUCCUUUUAAUAGAGAACUGGAACAAAGCAUUAACACACAGUGAAUACAUGAACUCCUCAAACUAUGGUCAUCACUGGGAGUGGUCCCGACUAUUGUCACUCCGGGGUAGCCGGAUCAUAACACGUAGUAGGUGACUAUAACUUGCAAGAUCGGAUCUAGAACAUAGAUAUAAUGGUGAUAACAUAAAUGGUUCAGAUCUGAAAUCAUGGCACCCGGGCCCAAAGUGACAAGCAUUAAGCAUGGCAAGGUCAUAGCAACAUCAAUCUCAGAACAUAGUGGAUACUAGGGAUCAAGCCCUAACAAAACUAACUCGAUUCCAUGAUGAAUCUCAUCCAACUCCUCACCGACCAGCGAGCCUACGAAGGAAUUACUCACUCCCGGUGGGGAGCAUCAUGGAAUUGGCGAUGGAGAAGGGUUGGUGAUGACGAAGAACGAAGAUCCCCUCUCCGAAGCCCCAAACGGACUCCAGAUCUGGCCUCCCGAUGAAGAACUGGAGGUGGCGGUGGCUCCGUCUCAUGGAACGCGAUAAUUCUUUCUCCCUAAUUUUUUUCUAGAAAAAUAGGAUUUUAUAGCAUCGGUUUCAGGGUCUGCGGGGCCACCAGGUGGGGACAACCCACCUGAGGACGCCUGGGAGGGCAGGCGCGCCCUGGUGGGUUGUGCCCACCCAGGUGCCCCCUCCGGUGGCUCUUGGCUCCAGAAUUCUCUUUAUUGAUAUAAAAACCCUCGCAAAGUUUCGUUCCAUUCCGAGAACUUUUAUUUCUGCACAAAAACAACACCAUGGUAGUUCUGCUGAAAACAACAUCAGUCCGGGGUUAGUUUCAUUCAAAUCAUGCAAAUUAUAGUCCAAACAGAGAGGAAAAGUGUUAGGAAAAGUAGAUACGUUGGAGACGUAUCACCUUGCUCACGUCGUCCCGCCUGCAUUCUCAUCUACAUCCUCCCUAGCUCACCCUCUCUCUCUCUCAUAUCUCUGCCAUGGUGCCGUCGGUCUGCCCAUGCGCCGACGAGGAGUCGCUGCCCCCCGAGGACGCUCACUCGAAGAGCAGCGACGAGGACCCCUACGCGCCACCGGACGAGGUUACGCCGGUGAGGGAGUCCUGGAUUAGGGGGUCCUCGGACGUCUGGGUUGUGUGACAUGGGCCGGACUCAUGGGUCGUGAAGAUACAAGAUGGAAGGCGUUCCCCCGUGUCCGGAUGGGAAUCCCCUUGGCGUGGAAGGCAAGCUUGGCGUUCAGAUAUGAAGAUUCCUUUCUCUGUAAACCGACUCUGUACAACCCUAGCCCCCUCCGGUGUCUAUAUAAACCGGAGGGUUUAGUCCGUAGAGGCAAUCAUAAUCAUACAGGCUAGACACCUAGGGUUUAGCCAUUACGAUCUCGUGGUAGAUCAACCCUUGUAACCCCAAUACUCAUCAAAGUCAAUCAAGCAGGAAGUAGGGUAUUACCUCCAUUAAGGGGGCCCGAACCUUGGUAAACAUUGUGUCCCUUGCCUCCUGUUACCAUCGAUCCUCAGACGCACAGUUCGGGACCCCCUACCCGAGAUCCGCCGGUUUUGACACCGACAUUAGUCCUUUCAUUGAGAGUUCCUCUGUGCUGUCAACAGAAGGUUCGAUGGCCCCGACAAUCAUCUACAACAACACUGCCAUGAGGGAGACUUUUCUCCCCGGCCAAAUUUUUGUAUUCGGCGGCUUCAUGCUGUGCGCCAACUCGAUUGGCCACCUCGAGCAGAUCGAUAGGUACGCCCCUGGUCAUCAGAUCAGUUUUGGGAACCUAAACUACGUCGCCAACAUCCGAGGAGACUUGAUCUUAGAGGGGUUUGCGGCCCCCGUUGCCGCUCCGGCCUUAGAUCCAGAGCGGGUUGUCAGGUCCGAGGACGGGAGUUUAGAGCCCACAGGACUCUUUGCAACUACAGAAUUUGCUACCGGAGAUCCGUAGGGGGCGACGUCAGCGGCAAACCCAAAGACGAACCGAACUCCCCUCAACGCUCAAGCGCCGAACACUCCGCCAGACUCUAAGUCCGAACUCUCAGGGUCCGUGUUAAGUAGGCGUGACCAGGAGGCACCCACCCCGGAUAGCCCCGCGGACUCUCUUUUCUCUGCCCAAACCUCGCCUUUGAACGAGGCUCUGGACAUGAUGUGAUCACUCGCCAUUACGGAAGGAUCGCUUCCGAACUACGCCCAGCCCGGACUAGGGGCUGAGAGCAAGGAAUUUUAUGUCCCACCCACCACCCACUUCAUAGCCACUGUCGAAGACUUAACCGACAUGCUGGACUACGCCUCCGAAGAUAUCGACAGUAUGGACGGCGAUGCCAGAGACGAACAAGGCCCAGACCCUCCGUUUACCGGACGAUGGACGACCACUUCCACAUACGACGUGUACAUGGUAGACACACCCAAGGAGGACGACAACGGCAAGAAGGAUCCGGAUGAGGACAAGCCUGCCGAAGCCCCUCCAAAGCAUCGACGUCAGCGGCGCCGCUCAAAAUCGUGCCGCGACAAGACAGCAAUACCGACACCGGAGACGAUAGCACUCCAGAGAAUGCCGAAGACCCCGAAGCCCCUGCAGAGCCAGCCUCCGAUCAGGACGAUUGGGAGGAGGGGCAAGUUGACCCUGACGAUCCCAUCAAUAACGAGGGCUCAGAGGAUAGUAAUUACCUACCGAUCUCCGAAGAGGACAGGAUCCUCGGAACAAAGACUUCAUCAUGCCAGAGGAACUCCUCGACUAGGAGCGCUUCAAGCGUAGGCUAAUCACCACUGCAAGAAGCCUGAAAAAGAAGAAGCAACAACUUCAAGCUGAUCAAGAUCUGCUCAAUGACAGAUGGUCUAAUGUCCUGGCAGCCGAGGAAUAUGGCCUCGAACACCCAACUAAGAGUUACCCAAAGCGCAAACUGCUACCACAAUUCGACGAUGAGGCGCUGGAGCCUAUACCGCCAACACGUGAUGCUGUUGACAGACCAGACCAACCACCACAUGGAGGGGAGGGUGACAGCUCAAGCCCAACACCAGCCCGCACCGCCGCGCGGUAGAGGCAGAGAAACAGCAUACACCUACGACCUACGACAGGACCUGGACAAUAGAGCCGGUCAGACUAGAUCAAUGUACGGAUCAAGGGGGCGUGCCCCAGCACAAGAGGACGACCAUCAGGCCUGGCGCGACAAGCACAACCUCACCCGCGCAGAAAAUCGCAUACGGACCUCAUCCGAGCUGCGUCGAGACGUUGCCUGAUACAGAGGCACUGCACACCCCCUAUGCUUCACCGAUGAGGUAAUGGAACACCAGUUCCCAGAAGGGUUUAAACCCGUCAACAUCGAAUCAUACGAUGGCACAAUAGAUCCCGCCGUGUGGAUCGAGGAUUUUCUUCUCCACAUUCACAUGGCUCGCGGUGAUGAUCUACACAGCAUCAAAUACCUCCCCCUAAAACUUAAGGGGCCAGCUCGGCACUGGUUGAAUAGCCUCCCAGAAAAUUCUAUAGGAAGCUGGGUAGACUUGGAAGACGCCUUUAGAGACAACUUCCAAGGCACGUACAUCCAGCCACCAGACGUUGAUGACCUCAGUCACAUAGUCUAGCAGCUCGGAGAGUCGGCCAGGAAAUUCUGGACCAGGUUCCUAAUUAAAAAGAACCAGAUUGUCGACUGUCCGGACGCCUAAGCCCUAGCGGCCUUCAAGCAUAGCAUCCGCGACGAAUGGCUUGCCCGACACCUCAGCCAAGAAAAGCCGAAGUCCAUGGCAGCCCCUACAGCACUAAUGACCCGCUUUUGCACGCGCGAAGAUAGCUUGCUAGCCCGUAGCAGCAACAGUACCAGCGACCCCGGCACUUCCGAAGCCAGAAACGGCAACGGAAGGCGCCGACGCAACAAACAUAAGCGUCAGAGCAACAAUAUAAUGCAGAGAAUAUGACGGUCAACGCUGGAUUCAGUGGCUCCAAAUCCGGUCAAUGAAGGAAGCCAUUCAAAAGAAACAAAGAUGGUUCAUCAAGCCUGGACCGAAUACUUGAUCGACCUUCCUAGAUCCACGACACUCCUGACAAGCCUGCCAACCACACCAACAAAAGUUAUUGGGUCUUCAAAGAGGCCGGCAAGUUGAAUGCCAAACACAAGGAGAAAGGGUUGCCCGACGAGGAUGACGAUGAGGAACCUCACGCACCGAACACGGGGGGACAGAAGAAAUUCCCCCCCCCCAGGUUAAAAUGGUGUGUAUGAUAUACAUUACUCACAUCCCCAAGCGGGAGCGCAAGCGCGCGUUAAGGGACGUCUACACGAUCGAGCCAGUCGCCCCAAAUUCAACCCAUGGUCAGCCUGUCCAAUCACUUUCGAUUCGUAGAGACCACCCAACUAGUAUCCGUCAUGGAGGCUCGGCCGCGCUAGUCCUUGAUCCAAUUAUUGAUGGAUUCCACCUCACGCGAGUCCUCAUGGACGGCGGAGCAGCCUUAACCUGCUCUAUCAGGACACAGUCCGCAAAAUGGGUAUUGAUCCUUCAAGAAUCAGGCCCACAAAAACCACCUUUAAGGGAGUAAUACCCGGUGUAGAGGCCUGCUGCACGGGCUCAAUCACAUUGGAGGUUGUCUUCGGUUCGCCGGACAACUUUCAAGCGAAGACUUAAUCGACAUCGUCCCCUUCCGCAGUGGUUACCACGCACUACUCGGACGAACCGCGUUCGCUCGCUUCAACGCGGUCCCACAUUAUGCCUAUCUCAAACUCAAGAUGCCCGGACCGCUGGCAGUCAAUGGAAACGUGGAGUGGUCCCUCCGUACUGAGGAGCACACUGCGGCCCUGGCAGCGGAAGUACAGAGCGGCCUUAUCAUACCGAAUACUAAAUCGGCAGUCAAGCCCCAGACACUAUCAAACGAGUUCAGACUACCCCUCAGCAUGAUAGUCCAGCCAUCAGGAGCUCGACUAGCAAUUUGGCCUCCAUCGCAACCCCAACCGAAUUACGACAUACAUACCACGCGUACAUCACUACACGCUAAAGAUACCAUGGGCAACGAUGGAGGCAUAGUAAAGAUAUAGUUGAGAAUAUUGCUCGACCCUAUCUGCACCCUGAUAUUUCUUUUCCUCUUAUUUUUUAUUUUUCCAGGUUCCUUACAACCCACGUCAUCUUUCAGCGGUACCAAGGGCCCUUUUUCUAAGCCCGUCAUGAAAACCCGAUCAUUGAUCCUUUCGAAGGAUAAUACGCUAAGGGGAAAGGCAAUGUAGCUAUGUGGCAGAGUAUCUAAAGGAUAUUUAAAGAUCGCCGCUUUCUUCUUUAGGACCCAUACACAGAUUUCCCUUGUGCUCGUCAUGUAAAAUAGCCUCGAUGCUUAUCGAGUUAUUUGUAAAAAUACGUUUUGACGUAUCAAUCAGACUAUAAUGGAAACAGUUUUUCACCCAACCUACUCGGUGCUGCCUUAUUCCUUAAUUUGUAUUCCCUCUUCUUCGUCCUGUUGCCAUGUACACCUCGGCUCGACUUAAAUCACCAGGGGCUCCAUUUGGCCACGUACAUUGCUUCAAUAAAUAAUAGUAAGUCCGAACACUUUUAUAGUACAAUUCGGCAUCACAAAUUAAGCAUUAUAUGCAUUGGCUCCGAAUCAUGUCUUUGGUCAAUAGUUGGGUUGCCCGGCUCCUGUGGUUAUUGCCUUACGUUCCGCUUGUUUGGCUAGAGCAGUAAAGGGAGAACUACUACGAUUGUGUUUCCGGCUCAUCCGGAUAAACACCUCAGUAGAGAAAGCCAAAAACUGACUGUCAUGGUGUUCCGCAUUGCGCGAAGGACCGGUCUUCGCCUGGUCAGACAUGCACAGCACCCAAGUUCAGAUAAUUGAAACACACCAGGGGCUGCGCCUACAACCUCAUUUGUCAAACUCUUAUGGCUAACUGAGAGCGAUAAAGCCAAAUAGUCUGAUUGCUUGGUUCGCCGCACUAACACCUCCUUCAAGGACCAAAUCUAAUGGGUCAAGUGUGUUUAGGUGCUGUUCUGAACACCCCCGUACUACCUACGUGGGGGCUGAAGCCGACGAUUGGCCAACUCUCAGAUAUCAUAAACGGACGCACACGAGGAAAAAUUUGAGGUAAGACAAGCAACAUAUUAUACAUAAGCCUUGUUUCGUAAUACAUAGUUUGUACAGUCAAGUUACAUUCAUUCAAAAAUAAUGUCCUUCGAGCACUGGCCCUCUACAAUGCGAGAUCCUUUGAGGACGUUGUCAAAAUACCGCUCCGGCGUGCGGUGUUCCUUGCCGGCGGGCGGUCCCUUGGUUGCAAGCUUGACGGAGUUCAUCUUCGCCCACUGUACCUUGACACGGGAAAAGGCCAUCCGUGCACGUUCGAUAUAGACCGAUUGCUUCACGGCAUCAAGCUGAAGGCAGGCACUGACCAGCCGCUUCACGAGGCCGAAGUAGCUACUGGGCAUGGGUUCGGCGGGCCAAAGACGGAUUAUAAAAUCCCUCAUGGCCAAUUCGGCUACCCUAUGCAGUUCGGUCAACUGCUUCAGCUGAUCGCUGAGAGGCACGGGAUGCUCUGGCGCAAGGUACUGCGACCAGAACAGCUUCUCCGUUGAGCUCCCCUCUUCGGCUCGGAAGAACUCCGCAGCAUCAGCAAUACCCCAGAGCAGGUCCGCAAACGCUCCUGGAGAACUCCAAAUCUGGGUUAGCAAUAUAUACUUUUUUCUCACGAAUUUUCUCUGCAUGUUAAAGGCCUUACCCGCCGCAAUCUGCUCUGCCUCCUGGAUCUCCCGGAUAGCGCUUUGGGCUUCGGCCCAGGCAUCCUGUGCACUUUGCAGUGCCUUAGCAAGUUCAGAAUUUUGCUCCGAAAUCUUGCACUCUAAGGACUUACAUUUGCCUAUGGCAUCCUUGAGCUCUUGCUGGACUUCCUCCACCCGUGAUUCAUGUUUCAGGCGGGAGGCUCAUUCCUCCUCCGCCUCUUUCUUGGCUUCGGCCAGUGCACUCUCGAGGGUCUCGACCUCCGCCGCGUCAGCUAUGAGCAUUAUUACAAAAGCUCAUUCAGAUAACAAUUCAGAGCUGAUCUCAUUUCAGACAUGUUUUCGAUGUCACAUACCUUGUUUUUCCUCUAACUUCCUCCUGAGCUCGGACGCUUCACCGGCAUGGGAAGCCGAUGCCUGCAUCACAGCCUGUUUUUCAAAUAGAUAUGUAUGUGAAUCUCAUGGGUGAAUUAUUAGAUCCUAUGUCCGGCUUAUCUUUACGAACACCGAACAGAGUCUCAGGGGCUACUAUCUAUACACAGGCAUUCCUCUUAUACAUAGCUAAAAAGCAUUAUUUCACAUACCUCAAAGCCUCACAGAAGGCUAGUGUAGGCUUCGUUCAAUCCGCUUUUCGCGGACUAAACCUUUUCAAUCACCGUACCCAUAAGAGUACGAUGUUCUUUCACAAUGGUGGCGCUCUGAAGCGCUCCCACCAGAGUGUCUGGCGCCUCCGAAUUGACAGAGGUCGCCGGUGGGGUGGGCGCGCCCCCUUCUUUCGAAGGAGGCUGCUCAUCUGACUCCGGAGCCGUGUGGGUCUCCGGGAUGACAUUUGGUUGGGGGCCAAAUUGGACAUGGCCCCCGUCUCCUGUCUCCAUGGGGGUCGGUUCCCCCAUGUUCUCGGCAGUAGGGGUAUCACCCUUUGGCGCCGUCUUGGCAGCCUCCUACACCUCUCCCUAUCCCGGAAGGGUCCUUCGGGACAACACCUCGGUGUUAUCCGCAGCACUGGGGGAGGAGGCUGGUGGAGGCGACUCGCUCUCCAUCAUGUUCGGAUCCAGCGAGUUCCCAGAAGAUGAAGAUCGCUGGGGGAGGUCAUGAUCCGGACUACAGCACACAAUUUAGUGUAUUACAACCUGAUACGUCUCCAACGUAUCUAUAAUUUUUUAUUGUUCCAUGCUAUAUUAUAUUCUGUUUUGGACAUUAAUGGGCUUUAUUAUACACUUUUAUAUUAUUUUUGGGACUAACCUAUUAACCGGAGGCCCAGCCCAGAAUUGUUGUUUUUUUGCCUAUUUCAGAGUUUCGCAGAAAAAGAAUAUCAAACAGAGUCCAAACGGAAUGAAACCUUCGGGAACAUGAUUUUUGGAACGAACAUGAUCCAGAGGACUUGGACCCUACGUCAAGACAUCAACCAGGAAGGCACGAGGUAGGGGGGCGCGCCUACCCCCCCUGGGCGCGCCCUCCACCCUCAUGGGCCCCACGUUGCUCCACCGACGUACUUCUUCUUCCUAUAUAUACCUACGUACCCCCAAACCACCAGAUACGGAGCCAAAAACCUAAUUCCACCGCCGCAACCUUCUGUACCCGUGAGAUCCCAUCUUGAGGCCUUUUCCGGAGCUCCGCCGGAGGGGGCAUCGAUCACGGAGGGCUUCUACAUCAAUACCAAAGCCUCUCCGAUGAUGUGUGAGUAGUUUACCUCAGACCUUCGGGUCCAUAGUUAUUAUCUAGAUGGCUUCUUCUCUCUUUUUGGAUCUCAAUACAAUGUUCUCCCCCUCUCUUGUGGAGAUCUAUUCGAUGUAAUCUUCUUUUGCGGUGUGUUUGUUGAGACCGAUGAAUUGUGGGUUUAUGAUCAAGUUUAUCUAUGAACAAUAUUUGAAUCUUCUCUGAAUUCUUUUAUGUAUGAUUGGUUAUCUUUGCAAGUCUCUUCGAAUUAUCAGUUUGGUUUGGACUACUAGAUUGAUCUUUCUUGCAAUGGGAUAAGUGCUUAGCUUUGGGUUCAAUCUUGUGGUGUCCUUUCCCAGUGACAGUAGGGGCAGCAAGGCACGUAUUGUAUUGUUGCCAUCGAGGAUAACAAGAUGGAGUUUAUAUCAUAUUGCAUGAUUUUAUCCCUCUACAUCAUGUCAUCUUACUUAAAGCGUUACUCUGUUCUUAUGAACUUAAUACUCUAGAUGCAUGCUGGAUAGCGGUCGAUGUGUGGAGUAAUAGUAGUAGAUGCAGGCAGGAGUCGGUCUACUUGUCUCGGACGUGAUGCCUAUAUACAUGAUCAUACCUAGAUAUUCUCAUAACUAUGCUCAAUUCUGUCAAUUGCUCAACAGUAAUUUGUUCACCCACCGUAAUACUUAUGCUCUUGAGAGAAGCCACUAGUGAAACCUAUUGCCCCCGGGACUAUUUUCCAUCAUAUUUAAUCUCCCGACAACAAGCUAUUUCUGGCGCCUUUUUUUUUGCUUUCUUUACUUUGCAUCUUUAUCAUGAAAAUACCAAAAAUAUUAUCUUACCAUAUCUAUCAGAUCUCACUCUCGUAAGUGACCGUGAAGGGAUUGACAACCCCUUUAUUGCGUUGGUUGCGAGGAUUUAUUUGUUUGUGUAGGUGUGAGGGACUCGUGCGUGGCCUCCUACUGGAUUGAUACCUUGGUUCUCAAAAACUGAGGGAAAUACUUACGCUACUUUGCUGCAUCACCUUUCCUCUUCAAGGGAAAACCAACGCAGUGCUCAAGAGGUAGUACAACCACAAGACAAAAAGCCGAAUAUAUAUAUAUAUAUAUAUACACCUUUGAGUACUUACAAUCCGGCCAGGGGCGCCUCUUGUCGGUGUCCGACUCGGAAUCAUUCGUAAGGGAGGUUCUCCCUUUCUUGGACGCUUCCGCCUCUAGAUCAGCGGAAGCUGCCCUCUUCUUCUUCUCCCCCUUAGGGGGGGAUUGCUCUCUUCCUCCUCCUCUUCCUCUUCGUCAGGGGAGGAGAGAGUUUUGGUGUCUUCGGAAACUACGUCCGAAACACCUUUACGGCGGAGGCCACUCUUGGCCUCCUUGCCCUUCUUCUUGGCCUUCUUUUCCGGCGCCUGGUAUGGUGCCGGGACCGGCAUCCCCGUCAACAGAGGAAUAGCUGGGUCUUCGGGCAGCGCAGCCGGACAAUGAAUCCGUUCCGCUUUCUUCGUCCAGCCCUGCAGGGAGAAUGGGAAGUUUAGUAUGCUCCUUGGACCUACAAAUUAAGGUUAUCAAAGAACUUACGGGGGUCGCGGCAUGGGUGCAGUCAUAGCCGAGGUCUUCGGUUGUCUCCGGCCACAACUUUUGGGUCUUGAAAAGCAGCAUCCACAUGUCUUCGUGCUUCGUGCCGAAGAACCGCUGCAGGGUCCGGGGACCGGCCGGGUUAAACUCCCACAUAUACUCUUGACAUGCCUGACAGGGGAGAAUCCGGCGGAAGAGCAUCAGCUGGAUCACACUGGCAAGACUGGUAUUCUUGUCUACCAUGCUCUUGACACGCCUCUGUAGAGUCAUCACCUCGUCGGACGACGCCCAGUCCAGGCCCUUGUUGAGCCAGGAUGUCAGCCGCAUUGGAGGCCCGGACUUGAAUUCGGAAGGAGCGGCCCAUGUGGAGUCACGAGGUUCCAUGACCUAGAACCACUCCUGCUGCCAUCCCUUCACGGUCUCCACGAAGGUGCCCUUGGGCCAGGUAACGUUGGGAAGCUUGCGCACCAUUGCGCCUCUGCAAUCCGCGUGCUGACCAUCCACCACUUUCAGCUUCACAUUGAAGACCUUGAACCAUAGGCCGAAGUGGGGGGAAUGCGAAGAAAUGCCUCGCAUACGACGAUAAAUGCCGAAAUGUUGAGAAAGGAAUUCGGGGCUAGAUCAUGGAAAUCUAACCCGUAGUAAAACAGGAGGCCGCGGACGAAAGGAUGAAGGGGAAACCCCAGUCCGCGAAGGAAAUGGAGGAUGAAUACUACCCUCUCAUUGGGAUUUGGUGUGGGGAUGAUCUGCUUUUUGGCCGGAAGCCGGUGGGCGAUUUCCUUGGCCAGGUACCCCGCUUCCCGGAGUUCCUUGAUGUUUCCCUCCGUGACGGAGGAAGCCAUCCACUUGCCCCGCGCUCCGGAUCUGGACAUGGCUGGAGUACUUUAUGGGAACGGAGAAGAUUGAAGCUUGGGUACUGGAGCUUGAGGGCGGAUGGGCUGAGGAAGAGGAAGGCGUGGGGUGACAAGGGGGAACCUUAUCUCCUUAUAAAGGUAGUGAAUAUCAUGCGCCCCCCACGAGCCUUAAAGCUCACCUAUUCCCAAGGGGUUGUGCAAAAUGGCAUGGUUGGGUUUCCCAAACCCGUAUUGAUGAGAAUCCCAUAAUAAGGGGCACAAUCUCUACUUUGAAAAGACGUGUCGCCGGAGGUUGCGUCUCGAAACGCGAGACGAGAGGCCGAAAAACGAUUCGAAAUAAUAAAGUGGCCGGACAUAACGUCUCACCAGUAAAAUUGUCAGAAGACAGAACUUAUUUUUGCUUAAGUAUUUUUGCCCUUGUGAUUCAGGGUUGUGACUAUUGUACAGAGCCGGAUAUAGUACUGGUGAUCAACUACUUUGAGGUGUGCGGAGGAGGAACCCGCCUUGCAAUGCCGAAGACAAUCUACGCAUCGGACAUAUCAUCAUUGAAGCUUGGUUCAGGGGCUACUGAGGGAGUCCUGGAUUAGGGGGUCCUCGGACGUCCGAGUUGUGUGACCUGGGCCGGACUCAUGCUGCCAUGGUGCCGUCGGUCUGCCCAUGCGCCGAUGAGGAGUCGCUGCCCCCCGAGGACGCUCACUCGAAGAGCAGCGACGAGGACCCCUACGCGCCACCGGACGAGGUUACGCCGGUGAGGGAGUCCUGGAUUAGGGGGUCCUCGGACGUCCGGGUUGUGUGACAUGGGCCGGACUCGUGGGUCGUGAAGAUACAAGAUGGAAGGCAUUCCCCCGUGUCCGGAUGGGACUCCCCUUGGCGUGGAAGGCAAGCUUGGCGUUCGGAUAUGAAGAUUCCUUUCUCUGUAAACCGACUCUGUACAACCCUAGCCCCCUCCAGUGUCUAUAUAAACUGGAGGGUUUAGUCCAUAGAGGCAAUCAUAAUCAUACAGGCUAGAUACCUAGGGUCUAGCCAUUAAGAUCUCGUGGUAGAUCAACUCUUGUAACCCCUAUACUCAUCAAAGUCAAUCAAGCAGGAAGUAGGGUAUUACCUGCAUUAAGAGGGCCCGAACCUGGCUAACAAUUGUGUCCCUUGCCUCCUGUUACCAUCGAUCUCAGACGCACAGUUCGGGACCCCCUACCCGAGAUCCGCCGGUUUUGACACCGACAGCCGGACCUCCCAACUUUGGAUUGGUUUUGGGGCCAGUACAAUCUUUGUUUGUGGAAGUCGUUACCACCGGUUGAGAUAGCCAGGCAAGUGGCGUUCAAGAAGGAGAUGGCGGAGGAGGAAGCUAGGUACCAGGCGGCCUGUGAAGCCCGUGAUGCCUCCUGGAAAAAGGACGCGGUGGAGCUUUGGGGGUGAGCGCAUCGUCGUGCAGAGGAGGUGUACGAAGACGGGUACUUCGCGAGGAAGGUCAAAGGUGCUAGGCACCUCAUCACUGCGUGGAGGUGGGCCGAUAAGCUCCAGCUGCCACCACUGAGGAGCUCCAGUGGGCACCCAACAAAAUGGCAAGAUCAUUCGCGCUCGUACGCCAGCAAGAGGCAGAUCGGUACGUCAAGCGCUGCGAGGCGGAGAAGGCGGAGUACUGCCUACGCUCUGGGAAGACGCCGUGCACCAGGGAGCUGCUGGCGAGGGGCUGCCGGAAUACUACCCCCAGGAGGGAUUAUUAGUUUUAGUAUUGUUCCAUUUUCAAUUUUAUGCAUUCUACCUAGUAGUUAAGUAUCAUCACGUAUAUGUGAUGAUAUUAUAUAUAUUCUAUGAUGAACUAAUGAACAAUUAAUAUAUAUAUAUAUAUAUAUAUUAUGAAUUCCAUUUUCUAUCUGUUUUUGUAUACUAAUUUGAAAUCUAGUUGUUAUCAUCCACAUAUACAGAAUGGAAAGCGUAUACACACACAUUGAAACAGAACAUAUAAGAACGAAAAACAGAGUACACACAUUGAAACAGGGCAAUACUAUGAUUGCUGUGAAUACAUAGCUAUCCACGUCGAAAUGACUCAACAAAAUAAAACGCAUCCAUGAGACCAUGACCAGCAGCCCUUGCCUACGGUAGUUCUUGGCUCUGCAUGAACUGGUGCAGGCGUUCGUCCAAGCGGUCGACACGCUCGCGGUACAUCUGGAGCGCGAUCUCGAGCUCCAAGUUGGCUAUUUCAUCAGAGAUCACCAGCUCGAGGAUGCGACGGCCAAGUUCCUCUACUACGCCCAGGUGGACACCUGGGCAAAGGAGGCGGUCGAGCCUACCGACCAGCGCGUUGGCAUCGAGCGGGCCACGGACAAGGCGAAUGGCGCGACCCAUGCGAACGGCGUGGCAGGCGUCCGGUGCAAGUACGGCGUGACCGUCCUCUGGUGCAAGUACAACGCAGAGGGCCUCUGCCCACUCCUGGCGAGGAAUGGGGGUACGUGUACCCAGUUACAAUGCCCUGUUGACAGCAGGCAAGCGCCGAUGGAUCCGCUCUUGCUGUGCGGCGAGCCGCGCCCCUUGCUCUGCGGUGCUCCAACGGUCUCGCCGUGCGGCGAGCCGCAGCCUAUCGGCACAGAUGCGCCUAGCUUGCUCUGCGGCGUGCCAUCGAUCAUGUUGUGCGGCAAGCUGCAACCUCUCGACGCUGACAUGCCUAUCUUGAUCCGCGGCGUUGAAGCGCCAUGCGCCAAGGGUCUGCUCAACCCUUGCGAUGACGUGCAUCACGACGUCGUCCAUCGCGUUGUCGGGGAGCGCCUCGGCCUCGACGGGCCAUUGCGCCUGCUUAUUUUCCUCGUUGACGAGGUUGAUGGCAGAGGCGGCGCUUUGGUGGGUUGGCAUGCUUGGAAAAGGUGGAUGUGCUAUAGGCUGCGCUUGUUGCCUCCGUGCGUCGCGCACCGCCUAGGUUUAUGCGCAAUAUCGCUGGGUGGCAGGAAACCGGUGAGGAAAUGGCGGGAAACGGUGGCGUGUUCAUAAAAUGCCAUCAAUUAAUGGAAACUUAGCAUAGAAGGAACAUCGAGCUAGCACAAGAAGUAGAUGAUGGUCAGAUGAUCGUUUAUCCUAGUUAAUUAUGCAUGUAAUCAUUUACUUUGGUGUGUGGACACGUCAUGUGUGUACUAGACACCUAUGUAGGAUGUUUGCCGCGUAUUACACACAUCUUGUUUAUGUGAAACAUUUCUGUUCUCUUGGCUCAACACAAACAGUUUAUCAGAAUGAACUGUGUGCCCUCCAUUGCACACACCUUGAUCUGGCUGAAUCAUUUCUGUUGCGUUGCCUAAUCAAAAAAAGUUCAUCCGAGUGAACCGUAUGCCGUAUAUCGCACACACCUUGAUCUGGCCGACCGUUGCUUUUGUGUUGCCUAAUCACAAACAGUUCAUCCGAGUGAACUGUAUGCCGUAUAUCGCACACGCCUUCAUCUAGCUACCCGUUUCUUUUGUUCUUCCACAUCGCAAACAGUUAAUUGAACUGAACCAUAUGCCCCUCAUCGCACACGCAACUAAAAUUUGAACCGUGCUUGAUGCAUCCUUCAUCGCAAAAGUUUUGCAUCUUUUUUGACGUUUUUUACAUCACCGUUUGUGAUUAAUGCAUCGCACACAGUUUCGUCAAAGGGUCUCUGAUCGUAGUGUCGCGUUAGCAGCAUCCUGCAGUAGUGUAUCUUCUUUUCAUCAAGAUAAGAAUAUUUCAAUGUAUCGGGUAAUUGUUUAAGCUCAAACACAAGAUCACUCUUGGGUGGAAGAGGAUCUCCAGGAGUUUCAACAGGUAAAUUGUGUUUCAAAUUAGGCAUUUAUUCAAAGAAUAUCUCAUCUAUUUUGUUUCUUUCAUUCAUAUGCAUAUCAUUUUCAUGGUCUAGCAAAUAUUGUUCUAAAGGAUCGGUAGGAGGCACGACAAUAGAAGCAAGACCAAUAAUUUCAUCUUUACUAGGUAAUUCCUUAUUAUGAGGUUGUCUACGGAAUUUGGAGAAAUUAAACUCAUGAGACACAUCAUCAAAAUUCACACUAACAGUUUCCUUAGUGCAAUCUAUCUUAUCAUUAACUGUAUUAAGGAAAGGUCUACCAAAUAUAAUGGGACAAAAAUCAUCCUGUGGAGAACCAAGAACUAAAAAAUCAGUAGAGUAUUUUAUCUUUCCACAAAAGACUUCAACAUCUCUAACAAUCCCAAGUGGUGUGAUAGUAUCUCCAUUGGCAAGCUUAAUAGUAACAUCAAUGUCUUCUAUCUCAGCAGGUGCAAUAUCAUUCAUAAUUUCUUGAUAUAAAGUAAACGGGAUUGCACUCACACUAACACCCAAAUCACAUAAGCCAUGAUAACAAUGUCUACUAUUUUAACAGAGACAACAGGUUUAUGUUUAUCUUAUUCAUCGGGUUUAGCAAUUCUAGUAGCUUCAUCACGGAAAUAAAUAACACGCACAUCAAUAUUUUCAGCCAAGAGAUCAUAACCAUAGCAACAUUAGGUUCAACUUUAAUUUGUUCAGAGGGUGUAGGUGUUCUUGUUUAACUUUUGCGAACCAUAGCUGAAGCUUUAGCAUGUUCUUUUAUCCUAACAGGAAAAGGUGGUUUCUCAAUGUAAGCAGUAGGAAUAACUGGAUCAACAUAAGUAGUAGUUUCUUCCCUAGCUUCAGCUGGUUCUACUAUUUUUUACUUCAACGGGAGGAUGAUAUAUAAACCACUUCUCCUUAGGGAGAUCAACAUGAGUAGCAAAUGAUUCACAGAAAGAAGUUACUAUCUCAGAGUAUUUAGUGCUAAAAUUCUGAAAAGCAUCGGUACCAUAAAAGUUUUAACACAAUCAAAUUCAAGCUUUAUACCUAACUCAUUACCUUCGUCGAGCUCCCAAUCUUCAAAGUUGCAUUUAAUUCUUUCCAAGAGAUCCCAUUUGAAUUCAAUAGUCUUCUUCAUUAAAAGAACCAGUACAAGAAGUAUCGAGCAUGGAUUGAUCAUUACAAGAAAGCCAAGCAUAAAAAUUCUGAAUAAUAAUUUAUCUUGAGAGCUCAUGAUUGGGGCAUGAAUAUAACAUUGACUUAAGCCUCCCCCAAGAUUGAGCGAUUCUUUCUCCUUCACGAGGCCAAAAAUUAUAUAUAUAAUUUCGAUCAUGAGGAAGUAGAUGCAUAGGAUAAAACUUCUGAUGAAAUUCCAGUUUCAAUCGAUUGUAAUUCCAAGCUCCAAUAUCAUCACAUAGCAUGUACCAUGUCAAUGCCUUUCCCUUCAAAGAUAAAGGGGAGACCUUCUUCUUGACCUCAUCUCCGGGUAAACCUGCAAGCUUAAAUAAUCCACAAACUUCAUCCACAUAGAUUAAUUGCAUAUCAGGAUGUAGUGUUCCAUCUCCUGCAUAAGGAUUAGCCAGCAGUUUCUCUAUCAUACCUGAAGGAAUUUCAUAAUAAAUAUUCUCAGCAGGUGUAGUAGGUUGAGGAGCAACUUUUUGUUCUUCCGGUCGAGGUGAAGAUACCCGAACAAGCCCCUCAAAGGAUGAUUUUCCAUAGUAACAAGUGACAAUAAAUUCCAGCACGUAAUAUAAAUUUUUCCUUACCAAAUUCCACUCACCAAAGGCACUUCACUCCCCGUCAACGGUGCAAGAAAAGAGUCUUGAUGACCCAGAGGUAUAAGGGAUCUAUCGUAGUCCUUUCGAUAAGUAAAAGUGUCAAACCCAACAAGGAGCAGAAGGAAAUGACAAGCGGUUUUCAGCAAGGUAUUAUCUGCAAGCACUGAAAUUAUCAGUAACAGAUAGUUUGGUAGUAAGAUAAUUCAUAAUGGGUAACAAGUAACAAGACUAACAAAGGUACAGCAAGGUGGCCCAAUCCUUGUUGUAGCAACGGAUAAGCCUGGGUGAACUCUUAUAUAAAGCAAAGCGCUCCCAAGGACACAUGGGAAUUAUUGUCAAGCUAGUUUUGAUCAUGCUCAUAUGAUUCGUGAAUAAUAAUAUCUUAUUCUUUCUCAGAAAACAUAAUAAAGUCUUAAGUCCAGUCAAAUUGACUAUCUUUAUUUUCAUGAAAAAAUGGGAUCUAUCAAGCACAUUCAGGAUAUGCCUCUACUAUAAAAUCACUUAGACAUACUUUUGUUCAUCACUUUGAUAAUUUGAUAUGUGGGUGGACAGGUGCUUGUGUGUUGUCCUUACUUGGACAAGCCUCCCACUUAUGAUUAACUCCUCUCGCAAGCAUCCACACCUAUGAAAGAAGAAUAAAGACAAAUCUAACCAUAGCAUGAAACAUGUGGAUCCAAAUCAACCCCUUACGAAGCAACGCAUAAACUAGGGUUUAAGCUUCUGUCACUCUAGCAACUCAUCAUCUAAUUAUUACUUCCCAAUGCCUUCCCCUAGGCCCAAAUCAUGCUGAAGUAUCAUGUAGUCGACGUUCACAUAACACAACAACAUACAUCUCAUCAAAAUAUCGAACGAAUACCAAAUUCACAUGAUUACUUAUAACAAGACUUCUCCCAUGUCCUCAGGAACAAACAUAACUGUCGUGGAAUUGUCACGGCAGAUGUCCUCGUGAAAGGACUUAGUUGUGGAGCCAUCGCAACUAGGAAGCUUAAAGGGGUUAAAGUGGGACAAAGGACACAAGGGUUUAUCCUGGUUCGGCCCCUUGCGGUGAAGGUAAAAACCUAAUCCAGUUGAGGUGGAAUUGCUAGGGUUUCGAUUACUAGGGAGCAAAUCUGCUAUGCCCGGUUCUCGAUUUGAUGUUACUUGCCCUAAGCCGCCGGCGGGUCGUCCCCUUAUAUACACGGGUUGACGCCCCGCGGCCUACAGAGUCCUGGCCGGCUCAUAAACAGCGUCUGGCUCGGUGACUAGUUAAUCUUGCCUUACAACACAAGUCAUGCCAUUACGGCGGUUUUAUCACUACGGGCCUUAAGUCGCCUGCGGGCUUUAGGCCCUUUAUUGAACCGCCAUCUUCAAGCUUGAUAUUGGGCUUCAUAUGAUGAAUCGCCAUAGCGUAACCCGACCCCUCCUGAGCGGGUUACACUAGUAGUUAUAGCCCCAACAUUAGGCCCCAGAUUGAUUUGAACCGGUUCAUGUCAAUCUUCAAUACCUUAAGAAAAAGCCUUCUGUCUUCUGUCUGUGCAAAAGUUAUAACCUGCCAUGAUGUCAUCUUCUGGAUUCAUGAUAACCCGCCAUGACGUCAUCUUCCAUUAAAUUCAUAUUUUAUUCUUUCAUAUCCCGAUGGAUCCUUAUCUUAAUGACCAUCCCAAAAAUCGAGGCGUCAGAGUAGCUGGAUAACCAUGUUUGGCCUCCUCGUUUCUCGUGCCCUCUCUGUCAGUCUUUUCCUUAUAAAUAAGCACGACCUUUAGGUCUUUCUUCAUUCUCCCCCUUUCUGUCGUCUUCUUCCUCUUGCGACUCCGCUGCUGCUCGAGCUCCGCCGCCGCCGCCGCCGCAGAGCACCUCAUCUUCAUCGAUCUUAGCCGCUACAUCAACCUGAAUCGACCAGAGAACGGCGACGAUCCUCCGUAGUAGAUCUACAGCUGUAAGUCUUCACCUUCCCGCACUUCAGAUCUACAUUUAGGGUUUUCAAGUUCUUCCGUGUUCUUCAUGGUUCUUCAUCGUUUCUUCGCGGUUCCUCCACCGCAGCUUCUUCUGAUCCAAAAAGAACAUAUAACUUGUGCGGUAACCGUUUUGCAUCCAUUUCAGAUGCUAGUAGAUUCCUUUCUCUAGUUCAGAGGCCUCAUUAGAACUCUCAAACUCAUCUGUACCAGUUUUUAGGUCUAGAAUAUUUUCUUUUCUGAACGAUCGUUUGAUCCAAAAUAACAGCUGCAACCUGCGAAACUUGUUUGUGCGACACUUAGGCAGAAAAAACUAUAUCUGUUAGCCAUGGCGACUCUUAUCGCCGGCUUAAAAAGGCAAUGCUCAAUCAAUAAUCCUGACCACUCACAGUGGUUUUAAAUAACUUAACUACUUAUGAUGCCCAUGGCGCUUGAAUAAUCUGACACAAUUAGCCAUAUGUCAUUAGGCCCCUUCGUAAGCCGCCAUCUUGAAUAUGAAUUGAAAUAUUUUCUCCGGCUUAAAUUUGAGCCGGAAAUUUUUACAUUGUCAUAGGCUUCCAUCUUCAUAAUGCCGCCCAAGGCUCCCAAAGCACCCGUCACAUGCAACUGGGUUAGAUCCAUCGUCACUGAUAACACCUUGAACGAGUUUGUGAAGACUGGUUAUCUGCCGAAGAAGGAGGUCAUGUCCUAUCGUGCUCCUGAUCCGACAGAAGAAAAACCUCAACCCAAGGAUGGGGAAGUUGUCGUUUUUACUGAUCACAUGAACCGGGGCUUUGCUCCACCCGGCUCAAAAAAUUUCAGAGACUUCUUGCACUUUUUUGACCUGCGACCUCAAGACAUCGGACCUAGUUCCGUGUCAAAUAUCUGCAAUUUUCAAGUGUUCUGUGAGGUGUACCUUGAGAAGAACCCAGCUUGCUACUCUUUAGAGAGUUAUUUUAUCUGAACCGUCGAAACGAACGUGCCAAUGGGCCCAGCUUGGAGCUUGGAGGAAUCUCAAUCCAGCGACGGAGAGACUGUCACUUCCCGUAUGCCGAACCGCCAAGUCACCCUAAAGAUUGGAACCAAACAUGGUUCUAUUAUCAAGACACUUCUCCGGCUAAUGAGAACCCUCUGCCCGGCUUUCGCGCCCUACGCCUGGAGUCAACUCACCCCUUGUCAGAUAAACUGUCUCCGGCUGAACGUCAAACACUUGCCCCCACCAUAAGCAAGGUCAAAGCUCUUCUGGGGAACGGCCUAAACGGCAUUGAUCUGGUCCGGGUUUGGCUUGCCUGGCGGGUUAUUCCUUUGAGCCGCCGCCCCGGCUUGGUGUGCGAUUACACAGGCCAAAAGAAUGAUCCUCUACGGCACAGCCCUAAUGACUUACCUGAGGACGUUGUUGAUGAUAUGAACAAGUCUCUUCUGAAUGAGAGCCUGGCAGAUUGUAGGAAAGUAGGCUUAAGUCCCUUCUGCAAAGCUAACCCGGCUCCAGCGGUAAGCUAUUGACUUGAGCAUUUUUACCUUCAACUUUAACAAUUUCGUCUUUACUCAAAAACCUUUGUUAUAAUUCACAGGCUGAUGACGAAUUUUGGAAGGUCAAGUAUGACCAUGAGGUUGCCAAGAAAGCCAGAAAAACUAAGAAAGCCGCCAGGAAAGCUGCUGCCCGAAAGAAGGGGAACAAACCUAGCGCCUCGGAUAUGCUUCAUCUGGAGGAUACCUCCGAGUUAGAGGUAGCUCUUGACUCUUUAGGCUCCUUUUUUAACCAUCUUAUUGACACUGAUUAUCAUCGGGAGGGUACAGCAGUGAGUCAUCUAGCGAUUGAAGAGGUAACUAUAAUUUCCUCCGACUCCGAGCCUUUGCCGAGAGAGAAAGUCCGAAGAGUAACCCGGAAAGUAAGAUUUUCACAUCCUUUAGCUUACCAAGAUCCUCAAUUUAUUUUGAAGCGUCCGACUCCGAGCCUUUGCCGAGAGAGAAAGUCCGAAGAGUAACCCGGAAAGUAAGAUUUUCACAUCCUUUAGCUUACCAAGAUCCUCAAUUUAUUUUGAAGCGACAGAUUCACGAGAGCCGGAGGCAGACCCGGACCAGUAAAGAUGCGGAACUCUCCUCCGGCUUACCCAAUGUAACAAGAAAACGCCGGACUGAGGUUAUCUCCGAUUUACAUUCUUUGUAUCCUUUGGCGGGUUUCACUCGCCAACCACUCAAUUCUUCUGACUCAAACUAUCAGGGAACUUCACCUUCCUCCGGCGAAUCAAUGCAGUCUAAUAUGCUGGCUUUCAAAACCGCUCCAUGGUAAUGAUAAUAUGUUUAUCUUGUGCUUAUCUUACUCAUGUUUUUGCACUAACCUUUUGAUUUUUACACAGCGUACAAGUAAAGCCAGCAAGAGGGCGAAGAAGAAUAAGCCGGCCGAAGAGCCGAUCUUGACUGAACCGGAGCUCAGAACAGCUGCUCCUGAUACCUCCGCUCAUGAGCCGCCAUCUGAACCAGCCCACAAUAUUCCAAUGCCUACUGCUGAUCCGCCUGUCGAGCAAGCCAUUGACGAUUCUGAGAACCCGGAGAUCCCUAGCCCGGCCAAGGCGGAUGACCCGGACGUCGAAAUCAUCAAAACUGACUUUGUUGAGCCGGGGAGACCCACCGUGCUGGCCAAGUGCUCCGCCAAAGAAGAACUUCUGGAACACCGCAAAGCCAAGCUGGAUGUCACUGAUUAUACUCAUCUGAGUAUUGGAGAAAUCGUCUUUGGUUAUAUCAAUCAAGUGCACAACAGCCGUGACAUGGAAAUUGACAUGGUGAAACAGAUACACCAAAAAUCUGAGGUAUAACUCUUGUUGCUAUAUUUUAUUUAUCCUUACUAUACCAGCCCCAAAUCUAUUGCUUAUGAUGAAAUAUGUUGUAGACUUAAUACUAGUUUAGUAAUACAUGCAAGAAACCCGGCUUAUCCUGUAGCACCCAAGGGCCGGUUUAGACAGCAUGUUUGAACCGGUCCUUAUCAUGUUUUAAUCAAGUACUUGAACAGCAAUAUGCAUUAGCCCCCAAGUGCCAAGUACCUUUGCCUGCAAAGUGCUUGGGACUUAUUUCCAUGAACCGCCACUGUAAAUAGAGUUCUUCAGCAUACAUUAGCCCCCAAGUGCCAAGUAUCUUUGCUUGCAAAGUGCUUGGGACUUAAUGUUGCAUUAUGAUGAUCCUGACUGUAACCCGGCAUUUAUACAGGCCACCAUUAGUCAAUUUGAAUCGGAGAUUUCUGACUUGAAGAAUUGCCUAGAAGCUCAGGAGAGUGAGACCCAAAAGGCCAAAUCCAAGUUUGAAUUUAGUGUAUCUAAACAAGAGAAACUGAAAAAGAACUUUGAAGCAGAGAAGAAGGCCUGAGCUGAUGAAAAGAUCGCUUUGAUCAACCGGGCUGAGAAAGCGGAGGCGACUCUUGCAGAAACAACCGCCGAGUUAUCCGGUUUAAAACACCAUGUAUCCCAGAUGGUCUCAGCAAUCUUUGGUAAGUUAGUCUGCAAGUGUUAGAUAUUUUAAAUCUUUUUCAACAAGUAUCUCAAUUGUCAUCAACUCACCUGACUUUGUAAUGUAGGCCCGGGAGUUCCAAUCUUAACCAAAGCAUGUUGAUAAAGCUGAAGGCGGUUUAUACAUUGGUGGAACAACUCUACGCUGGGUCACAACGUGCUUUAGCCAUCGUGGCUUUGUCAAAUGAAGUUCCCACUCUCCUGGCGGAUGUACUAAAAUGGCUUGCCGUGCUACCUCAGCGGUUCCAGGAAUUAAGACGAGCUUCUGCGAGAGCCGGAGCCAUAGCCGCAUUAAGCCGGGCCAAGGCGUGGCUACCGGAGCUAGACCCGGCCGACAUCGCCCUUGGGUAUCCAAGCCUGAAGGAGGACGGCACCCCAUUUGACCAGAAGAAUUUCGCCGCUUGCGUGAAAGAAAUACGCCCUGUGGCCACUCUGAUCAGAGAAUCCCAACGCCACAUUAUGAAGCAAUCAGCCUAAUCCCUCCAAUUCGUAAGCAUACCUUCGCCCCUGAAGUUGAUCCGGCCGGGUUAAUUGAUGAUGAAGCUGAAUUUGAAGCUUUGAGUGGCAUUGACUGGUCAUCAUCAACCUUCCAGGACAGGGAAACAGACAGAGGAGCGAAAAGGGAUGAACCGGAAGCUUCAGGCCAACAACACAUUUGAUCCCUUAGGCGGCCCAUAUUUAUGCCUUGCUGAAAAACAAUGCUUCAUUAUUUGGACUGGGGGAGUCAUGUAAUAGGGUAGAAAAACACUUAAUUUUGUCGUUCCAUCGCGCACAUGUCUGGCGCUCAACACUGUUUAAGCCGCCAUCUUAUAUUCCUCCGUAUUAUGCUGAUCCUCUGCUUUCCUUAUGUUUAAAGAGCUGCUUUAAUUGUCCUGCAUAGAGAACAAAUCACAAGUCCCUUGGCGGUUUACCGCAUGGCGGGUCAUAGAUUUUACAUAUAACCCGGAAUAUGAACAAAAAAUCAUAAAGAAGCCGGUUCUCAAUUAUAUCUUUGAGACAUAACCAUAACAACAUACCUGUGAUCCUUUGAUUACGCUGCCGGUUUAUGUGAUCCGAACAAUGAGGGUGAGAACCCAAUUCUGUAAAAACCGGCACAUAUGAUGUUUGUUAUGUGCUAACAACUUUAUUGUUCAAGGUUAAGCCGGUGGAAUAGAAACCACCCCAUAAACGCUUUCAAAUAUGACCAAAAAGGUCUCAAGGCAGUCAAAUAAUUGUGAUUGCAAAACUUUUACGAGAAACAGACAAAAUUUUGAGGCUUCUGAUUCGAAUACGAUCAGUAAACUGUUCCAAAGGGGUUAAGCUAAGAUUCGAAUACGAUCAUAUAGCCCCCAGUGGCUUUGGCGUUGCCGAUCAAGAGGGUAUCGACAGCUAUGUUCUCUUUGGUUCGAAUACGACCUAUGUUUGAACAGGAAGCCCCCAAAUGACCUUGAAAGUUGUUUAAUGACAAUGAUUCGAAUACGAUCCACGUCAGACUCAAAAGGGGUUGAGCUAUGAUUCGGAUACGAUCAAGAAGCCCCCUAGUGGGUUUGGCGGUAUGCCGAUCAAGAGGGUAUCGACAGCUAUGUUCUCUUUGGUUCGAAUACGACCGAUGUUUGAACAGGAAGCCCCCUGAUGAUCAUGGCUAGAUUCAAACAUGAUCAUAAGCUGUACCAAAGGGAAAGACGGAUUCAAAUAUGAUCCGCUCCCUGUUGGUUGUUUUAACAAUAUAAUAAUGAAGACAUAUAAACUUUUGAGGAUGAAAAGGACAGAGGUCCUGCUUUAUUACUUUUCAUAAUAUAUACAUCGUCAAAAUAUGUACAUCCUGAGAGCCGGUGGCUCAAUUGUAGUAAGGCCAAAGAUGAGCGAUAUUCCACGGCCGGUGGGUCUCCUCUUCCGACUUACGUGAGUCUUUGUGCUCUCGAACAUCGAUGAGGUAAUAUGACCCGUUAUUCAGGUUCUUGCUGACCACAAAGGGUCCUUCCCAAGGCGGGGAUAGCUUGUGCAUAUCGGACUGAUCCUGGAUGAGCCGGAGCACUAAGUCACCUUCUUGAAAGGUUCUGGACCUAACCCGACGGCUGUGAUAACAGCGCAGGUCCUGCUGGUAAAUCACCGAGCGGGCUAUUGCUAAAUCACGCUUCUCAUCCAACAAAUCAAGUGCAUCCUGACGAGCUUGUUCAUUAUCAGCUUCAACGUAAGCCGCCACUCGGGGCGAAUCAUGACGGAUGUCACUUGGUAGGACCGCCUCUGCUCCGUAAACCAUGAAGAAAGGCGUAUGACCCGUAGAUCUGUUAGGUAGUAUUGAUGCUCAAAUCACAGAAGGCAACUCCUCCACCCAACAACCCGGCGUCCGUUGUAAAGGGACCAUGAGCCGGGGCUUUAUACCUUUCAAGAUCUCUUGAUUGGCUCUUUCAGCUUGACCAUUGGAUUGAGGAUGAGCUACUGAUGAAACAUCGAGCCGGAUAUGUUCUCGUUGAUAGAACUCUUCCAUAGCGCCUUUGGACAGAUUAGUACCAUUGUCAGUUAUGAUGUUGUGUGGAAAACCAAAACGAAAUAUCACCUUUUUCAUGAACUGAACCGCCGUGGCUGCAUCACACUUACUGACCGGCUCUGCCUCAACCCACUUUGUGAAUUUAUCAACCGCCACCAGAAGGUGUGUCUUUUUAUCCUUGGACCUUUUGAAAGGCCCAACCAUGUCAAGCCCCCAGACUGCAAACGGCCAAGUGAUUGGAAUCAUCCUUAACUCUUGAGCUGGCACAUGAGCUCGUCGUGAGAAUUUUUGACAACCAUCACAUUUACUGACCAGAUCCUCCGCAUUUGCAUGAGCUGUCAGCCAAUAAAAACCAUGACGGAAGGCUUUGGCCACAAGAGAUUUUGAGCCGGCAUGAUGACCAAAACCCCUUCAUGGAUCUCACGAAGUAUUUCUUGACCUUCCUCACGCGACACACAACGUUGAAACGCCCCAGUAACACUGCGAUGAUGCAACUCACCAUGAACAAUUGUCAUGGACUUGGACCGCCGGACGAUUUGUCUAGCUAAGGUCUCAUCCUCAGGCAACUCGCCCCGGUUCAUGUAAGCCAAAUACGGCACUGUCCAAUCUGGGAUGACGUGAAGAGCCGCCACCAACUGUGCUUCUGGAUCUGGAACAGCUAAGUCUUCCUCUGUGGGCAACUUGACAGAAGGGUUACGCAAAACAUCCAAAAAGGUGUUAGGUGGCACCGGCUUACGCUAAGAUCCCAGCCGGCUUAAAGCAUCUGCCGCCUCAUUCUUUCUUCGAUCGAUGUGCUCCACUUGAUAACCCUUGAAGUGCCCAGCUACAUCAUCAACUUCACGGCGAUAAGCCGCCAUGAGAGGAUCCUUAGAAUCCCACUUGCCUGACACCUGUUGAGCCACCAAAUCUGAGUCGCCCAAGCACCUUACCCAGCUUAAGCUCAUCUCCUUAGUCAUCCGAAGACCAUGGAGCAAGGCCUCAUACUCAGCUGCAUUGUUAGUAUAGCGAAACAUCAACCGGAGCACAUAACAAAAUUUGUCACCUCGAGGGGAAGCUAAAACAACUCCAGCCCCCGAGCCCUCCAAUUGCCUGGAUCCAUCAAAAUGAAUAGUCCAAUAUGUGUUAUCCGGCUUUUCCUCAUGCGUCUGUAGUUCUGUCCAAUCGUUGAUGAAGUCCACCAGUGCUUGAGACUUAAUAGCAGUGCGUGGCACAUACUUCAAACCAUGAGGCCCAAGCUCAAUGGCCCACUUGGCGACUCGUCCUGUACCCUCUAUAUUCUGAAUGAUGUCUCCCAAAGGAGCAGAACUUACCACAAUGAUGGGGUGACCCUGGAAAUAUUGCUUAAGCUUCUGGCUCGCCAUGAACACCCCAUAAACAAGCUUCUGCCAAUGUGGAUAUCUUUGCUUAGACUCAAUAAGCACCUCACUGAUGUAGUAAACCGGCCGUUGAACCGGAUGCUCCUUGCCAACCUCCUUGUGCUCCACCACAAUUGCAACACUGACAGCACGCGAGUUAGCGGCCACGUACAACAAUAGUGGCUCUUUAUCAAUGGGAGCCGCAAGGACCGGCGGCUCAGAUAACUGUCUCUUUAAAUCUUCAAAGGCAGCAUUAGCAGCAUCACUCCAGACAAAAUUGUCUGUUUUCUUCAUCAUCUGAUACAGCGGUAUGGCCUUCUCACCUAACCGGCUUAUGAACCGGCUUAAAGCAGUGAUACGACCAGCCAGUCGCUAAACAUCAUUGAUGCACGCCGGCUUAGCCAAAGAGGUGAUUGCCUUGAUCUUCUCCGGAUUAGCUUCAAUGCCUCUGUUAGAGACCAGAAAACCCAAAAGCUUGCCUGCUGGCACGCCAAGCACACAUUUGGCCGGGUUAAGCAUCAUUUUGUAGACCCGGAGAUUACCAAAGGUUUCCUUCAGAUCAUCUAUCAAGGUUUCCUUCUCUCUGGAUUUCACCACAAUAUCAUCCACAUAAGCGUGAACAUUGCACCCAAUCUGAUUGUGGAGACAGUUUUGUACACAUCGCUGAUAAGUCGCCUGGGCACUCUUAAGCCCAAAUGGCAUAGAUACAUAACAGAAGGCUCCAAACGGAGUGAUGAAAGCCGUCUUCUCCUGGUCCUUAACUGCCAUUUUGAUCUGAUGAUAACCAGAGUAAGCAUCUAAGAAACUCAAACGCUCACAACCCGCCGUAGCAUCAAUAAUUUGAUCAAUACGGGGAAGAGCAAAAGGAUCAGCCAGACAAGCCUUAUUUAAGUCCGUGUAAUCCACACACAUCCGCCAGGUGCCGUUCUUUUUAAGUACAAGCACCGGGUUAGCCAACCACUCUGGGUGAAAAACUUCAACAAUAAACCCGGCCGCUAAGAGCCGGGCCACCUCCUCACCGAUAGCUUUCCGUCUCUCUUCGUUAAACCGCCAAAGAAACUGCCUGACCGGCUUAAACUUUGGAUCAAUAUUAAGAGUGUGCUCAGUGAGUUCUCUCGGUACACCCGGCAUGUCAGAAGGUUUCCAUGCAAAGAUGUCCCGAUUCUCACGGAUGAACUCGAUGAGCGUGCUUUCCUAUUUAGGAUCCAGAUUGGCACUGAUACUGAAUUGCUUAGAUGAGUCGCCUGGAGUAAAAUCAACAAGCUUGGUGUCAUCAGCCGACUUAAAUUUCAUCACCGAGUCAUGCUCUAUGGUUGGCUUCUUCAGAGAUGUCAUGUCUGUCGGGUCAACGUUAUCCUUAUAAAACUUCAGCUCCUCUGCUGCACAAACAGAUUUGGCAUAAGCAGCAUCACCCUCCUGACAUUCCAGGGCUAUCUUCCGACUCCCAUGCACAAUAAUGGUGCCCUUGUGACCUGGCAUCUUGAGCUGCAAGUAAACAUAACACGGCCGCGCCAUGAACUUGGCGUAAGCCGGCCGUCCAAACAGAGCGUGAUAUGGCUCUUGAUCUUGACCACUUCAAAGGUUAAUUUCUCAGCCCUAGAAUCAUGCUCAUCUCCAAAGGCUACCUCCAGCUCAAUCUUACGAACUGGGUAUGCCGACUUACCAGGCACCACUCCAUGGAAAACAGUGUUGGAUGUCUUUAAAUUUUUGUCAGUCAACCCCAUACGUCGAAAGGUCUCAUAAUAGAGGAUGUUGAUGCUGCUACCUCCAUCCAUGAGUACUUUAGUGAAUUUAUAUCCACCAACCUGAGGUGCUACCACCAAGGCUAACUGACCCGGAUUGUCAACCCGGGAAGGGUGAUCUUCCCUGCUCCACACAAUAGGUUGUUCUGACCACCUUAAAUAACGGGGAACUGCCGGCUCAACAGCGUUCACAGCCCUUUUAUGAAGCUUCUGGUCUCGUUUGCACAAGCUAGUGGUGAACACAUGAUACUGUCCACUAUUCAGCUGCUUUGGAUUGCUCUGAUAACCCGAUUGCUGCUGCUGCUGACCUCCAUGACCAGACUGCUGAUUAUAACCACCUUGAUUUCCCUGAAAGCCGGAAUUUGAGCCGCCACCCGGGCCAUGAAAACCGCCUCCACCUGAGCCGCCACCAGACCCAUGGUUGCCAUCGAACAUGUUGGAAUUCUUGAAAGCCUUCAUGAUCGUGCAAUCCUUCCACAGGUGAGUGGCUGGCCUUUCCCGAGUGCCGUGUCUUGGACAGGGUUCGUUGAGUAGUUGCUCAAGAGUAGGACCUGACCCGGCGGACCGAGGGGGUGGCCUCCCCUUGCGUCGUUGAUUGUUACCUUGUGAAUUGGUGUUAGCCACAAACUCUGGGUUACCGUCAGCCUUAUGCUUACUGCCUCCUUGAUUCGCCGGGUUAUGCUGCUGACCCUUUCCGUUGUCGUUCUUCUUUCCCUUCCCUGUCUUCUCUUCAUUAGACGCGGGAUCCUUGGUACUAUCAGAAUCGGCGUAUUUGACUAGAGCCGCCAUCAGCUGGCCCAUGUCAUUACAAUCACGCUUGAGGCGCCCCACCUUCUGUUUCAGAGGUUCAAAUUGGCAAUUUUUCUCCAACAUUAAGACUGCAGAGCCGGCAUCCAUCUUGUCAGACGAAUGUAUUAUCUCCUUGACCUGGCGCACCCAAUGAGUGGUAGACUCACCUUCCUCUUGCUUGCAAUUAGUCAAGUCCACAAUUGACAUGGGCUGCUUGCAGGUGUCUUUGAAAUUCUGGAUAAACCGGGCUUUUAACUCUGCCCAUGAAACAAUGGAAUUAGGCGGCAGCCCCUUUAACCAAGUGCGGGCCGUUCCAUCCAACAUCAUGGUGAAGUACUUGGCCAUCGCCGCAUCACUGACCUCCAACAGCUCCAUGGCCAUCUCAUAGCUUUCAAUCCAUGCCCCGGGCUGUAAAUCAGCCGUAUAAUUUGGCACCUUUCAGGGUCCCUUGAAAUCCUUGGGCAGACACUCAUUACGCAAAGCCGGCACCAAACAAGGAACGCCACCGGUUCUGGUGGCCACUCCUGCCUCAACAGAAGUCGUUGGAUAAUCCGGGAAGGUUUGGUGAGCCGCCUGCUGAGCCGCCCGCUCAUCCUCUCAACGUAUCCUGUCCUGUACCGGAUUAUAUCCACCGGGCUGGUUACGGCACUGGGCGUUGCUUAACAAGGCCUCCGAAUCCAUAUGUCUGCUGUAACUUGGGCUCCGGCUUGGGCGAGGAGUCGAAUGAAUCCUGUCUCGACUAUAGGAAUAAGCCUCCUGCUCAGCCAGAGCCGUCUGAAGAAGUUCUCUGACCCUUCGCGUCUCAACUGCUGUUGGAGAGUCACCAUCCACCGGGAGAGCCGCCAAACGUGCCGAUGCAGCGAUCAGGUUCUUCAAGGGGUUGGAAAAAUGACCCGGUGGCGUUGGUACGUAGCGAGGCGGGGCCGUAUUCACGUGAGGAGGUUCCAUCACCCGGGGCUGAACCGGUGCCCCUGCUCCGGAUGUUACAAACUGAUUUGCCUCCGGCGGGUUACUAGGGCCGGCUCCGGGCGUCCAGAAGAGAUUCCGAGGAUCAUAAACCGGAGGCAAACGGGAUUGAGCCUUCUGGUGCCUCCUCCUCAUCACCUCGUUAGAUGCUUUCAGGCUCAUCGUAAGCUGGAAAGACUCUGACUGGAUCUGUUGAGCCCGAGCAUCCAAAGUCGCCCGCUCUGCGGCCAAUCUGGUGUCCUCAGCUGCUAGGGCUUCUUUGGCUCGGGCUAUCUCCUCACGUACCUAUGCCACCUCUGCAUCAUGCUUAGCUUGACUCACCGGAAUAACUGUGGCGGUUAACAGGGCCGUCAAUUUGUCCAUGAGAUCAAUCAGCACCUGAGCCGGCGGGCGCACAGGGCCUCCUGCCCCGGCCGCUCCUGACCCGGAAGUUAUUGCUACCGCAGCCGUAGAGUUUUGGCCGGGUUGAGUACCAGCCAUGAAGAUCCCUACUCUGCUCGGCGGCUCAAAGGGGUCCGGAAUACUGCUGCCAUCGGAACAGCCCCCAAUCCUGCCAUCUUGCAAUUGGUAUAGCGAAUCCGUCUCACCAGUGGACGACUCACCAUCGGAGUAGACGGCCGUCUCACCGCCGUCCACGGAUCCUUCAGAAAGUUCUCCUCCGUGGAUGCAACCCACGAAGGCACGCUUCACAGUGGGCUGAGCCCGGGCGGGUCUCGCACGCUGAGCCGUCUCGAUGAUGUCGGUGCAGAUGCCCGGCUCAGGGCCCGGCUAGCCAAUCCGGCCGAUGAAGACGUGGAUUCCGCCAAAUGGGACCCGGUACCCGUACUCAAUUGAGCCGGCGUCGUCGAUGUAGAGCUUGCCGCGACGACUCUUGGUCAUCCGGCCCACAGGGUAUCCCUUGAGCCCUUCGAAGUUGCCCUGCAAGAACUCAAAUCCACCGUGCGCUGGCCCCACGGUGGGCGCCAACUGUCGUGGAAUUGUCACGGGAGAUGUCCUCGUGAAAGGACUUAGUCAUGGAGCCAUCGCAACUAGGAAUCUUAAAGGGGUUAAAGUGGGACAAGGACACGAGGGUUUAUACUGGUUCGGCCCCUUGCGGUGAAGGUAAAAGCCUAAUCCAGUUGAGGUGGAAUUGCUAGGGUUUCGAUUACCAGGGAGCAAAUCUGCUAAGCCCGGUUCUCGAUUUGAUGUUACUUGCCCUAAGCCGCCGGCGGGUCGUCCCCUUAUAUACACAGGUUGAUGCCCCGCGGCCUACAGAGUCCCGGCCGGCUCAUAAACAGUGUCCGGCUCGGUGACUAGUUAAUCUUGCCUUACAACACAAGUCAUGCCAUUACGGCGAUUUUAUUACUACGGGCCUUAAGUCGCCUGCGGGCUUUAGGCCCUUUAUUGAACUGCCAUCUUCAAGCUUGAUAUUGGGCUUCAUAUGAUGAAUCGCCAUAGCGUAACCCGGCCCCUCCUGGGCGGGUUACACUAGUAGUUAUAUCCCCAACAAUAACUACUCACAAAUCAUGCUCAUGUUCAAGAUCAGAGGGGUAUUGAAUGUCAUUAAGGAUCUAAACAUAAGAUUUUCCACCAAAUAAACCAACUAGCAUCAACUACAAAGAGUAAUCAAUACUACUAGCAACCCACAGGUACCAACCUUAGGUUCUGAGGCAAAGAUUGAGUACAAGAGAUGAACUAGGGUUUGAGAGGACAUGGUGUUGAUGAAGAUUGACCCUCCCAUGAUGAGAGGAUCGAUGGUGGUGACGAUGGCCUCGAUUUCCCCGUCUCGGUGGGAAGUUUUCCCACGAGAAUCGCUCUGCCAGGGCUCUAGAUUGCUUCUUCCCAGGUUCCGCCUCGAGACGGCGGCGCUUCGCCCCGAAAGCUUUCCUUCUCAUUUUUUCUAGGUUAAAACCUUUCAUAUAGUAGAACAUGGACACCGAGGGUUGGCCAGGAGGCCCACAAGCUCAGGGGGCGUGCCCUGGGGGGUAGGGCGCACCCCCCAGGCUUGUGGCCACCUGGUGGGUCCCCUUCUGUUGUUUCUUCGUCCAAUAUUUUUAUAUAUUUCAAAACAAUUCUCCGUAAAGUUUCUGGACAUCUGGAGUUGUGCAGAAUAGGUAUCUCAGAUUUGCUCCUUUCCGGUCCAGAAUUCCAGCUACCGGCAUUCUCCCUCUUCAUGUAAACCUUGCAAAAUAAAAGAGAAAAGGCAUAAGAAUUGUAUCUUAAAGAGUAAUAACAGUCCAUAAUGCAAUAAAUAUCAACAUAAAGACAUGAUGCAAAAUGGACGUAUCAUUGUGCUUCUGUUUGUGUGCAUCCUGUCAUCACUGCGAGCCUACAAUAUCGUCAAUCACGGAACCCCGAGGAUGUCCCUGCUAGCCUAGGAACCCAACAUGAUGAUCACCCGAUGUCGGAGCUGAUUUCGGCAUAUCCCUUAGUAGGUUAUCUCGACAUGGUGAUUAGGUUGGAGGGGAAACAAGAGAUGAUUUUACCCAGGUUUACACCCUCUGUGAGAGGUAAAACCAUACUCCUGCUCGUGUAUAUUGCGAUCAGGGUGUACAAAGUGCAGGUAUAACCAAGGGAUUGUAUGAUAAUCUAUCUAGUAGAUCGGCCCUGGCUUAUGUAAGAUAUUGGGCCCCUACGGUUACACAAGCUAGUCGUCUAUGGCUGUCGAAUGGCAAGGUCUCCAGAGUCCUCUUCUACAUGGCCCAUGGGACGGACUGAUGUCCUAGGGAGAAACCGACCUAGGGGGCCUCGGGCCGGCCUACCUAGGCCGGAAACCAAUAAGGUGCGGACCCUUGGGUCGUAACACCAUCACCCGAGAAGGAACGCCAGCCUGCGGGCACAAUCAGUGGAGCCCCUGGGGGGUUGCCGUGCCCAGGUUGUGCUUGCCUAGGGAUCCCGAGCACCCGAUUCUAGAGCCAAACCCCGGGCCGAGUCUAGCCCAUGUCACGGAUCCAGGGAACCCCGUCCCUCGUAUCCCUGACAGUGAUACAAAGAAUGUAAACAUGACUGUCUAUGUCAAUAUUGAAGUACUUUGGUCAAGGCGACAUGCGCUAGUCGCUCGUCUCGUCGAAGGGGGCAUGCAUAUGGCGGGCCACUUUGAUAACUGGUAGUGUAUUUUUUUCAUAAUAUCAAAAAUCUUUCAGAAGUACAAAAUUGCUAGGCCAAAUAAGUAGACAUUUACCCCUUUUGUUUCAGAAUUUUUAGAAAAGAUUUAUUUUUUGUCCAAAAUGUUGGAAAACAAUGACAUAGGUUGUCCAAAUGGGUCCGGCUUUAGACAAGUGUCUAUUCCAACAUUAAGAAUGAGGAGUACAAGCCAGGUGUGUUGGAGAAGUUGUGUGUGAUAUAGUGGAGAAGCUAUGCGUGUUAAUAAACACAGGGAAUUUUGAGGAGAAGGGGAAGAACGUGGAGAGAAGGGGAUCUGGAGGAUGCGGGUAGGUGGAUGGCAUGUAAAGCCAAACCAACGCGUGUGAAUAUUAAAUUGACGCAACCUGAGAUGAUACCGGUCAGGUUGGUGGAGUUGAACUCAAUGACAUUCGGGGUGGAGGAUCCACUUGUACGAUUUAUUUCCUUUUGUUCUGUAAAUGUAAAACACCCCCUUUAAAUCUAAUUAUUUGAUGAAGUUUUUGCAAAUAGAUUUGUUUGUAGUAUUUGAACUUCAUUGAUGUUUUCAUGUAUAUGUUUCACUAAUUUUUGGAUAGUUUUACUGUAUGUUAUACAUUAAAUGAAUUUAUGCACACUUAUUGAAAGUGAUUCCAUUUUGAACUAUAGGUGUAUCAAAUAAGCUCUAAAAUGAUAUACUAUAUAUAUACAAUUUGAGCUCAUGUGUUGCAAACAGAUGAAAUAUGCAACUCAGUGUUAUGGUAGAUCCCGGGGAGUUUUUCCAUGUUUAAGAAAAUGACAAGCUAUCUAAAUGUAGUCAAAAAAUACUAAAACUUGGCAUGACACUCUUAUAUAGGCACAUAAACCCGUGAUAACAAUUUUAGAAGAAUACACAAAGUAAAGAAUAAUAAGUUCUUGACAAAAUGGACUACCUUCGAUGAAGUUUCAUAGUACCAUUCACCCUAAAUAUCCAACUUUGCACAACCCAAACAAUUUUCAGUGACUAUUUGAGCUCUUUUAUAUUUCAAACUUUUUAUACAUCUUGAUUUAACAUUUAUAAUGACAAAUGCAAACUAAAUCACCAUUUGUUAUGUAAUAAUCUUAUGUUAGCAUGACCUCCAGUUAUUUAAGGCUAAAAAAGAGUGUCUGAAUGUAGUCCAAAAUUACUUAAAACUGGAAGGGUGUCUUAAAAUUGGUACAAUAUCUUACGAUAAAUAUCUAAGAAAAUAUACACAAGAGAAAUAAUGAUUGUUCACUAGGUGAACUACCUCCCAUAACAUCAACCCUUUUGAAGUGACUAUUUGAGCUCAUUUUCACGUAAAACUUUGUGUAAACUUUGCUUUAACAUUUGUAAUGAUAUCAUAUAAUCAUAUCACCUAGGGUGAGAUUUAUUUAAAUCUCAUGUAGAAUAGAGUUGCCGAUAAAGGAUCCUGCCCGGCUUUAUAUAAAGCAACAUCAACGAGUGAUAGAAGUAUUUGGGGCACCAACUUAAUAAUAAGCACAAAACAAGAAGAUACUUCAUAUCAGAUGAGUAGUUGGAGCCAAUCGAGGAACCAGAUCCUUGAAGUUGACCAUCAUGUCAUCAAUUGUAGCCCAGUCAUAUGUUUUGUCCAGGGACUUCCAUUGCUUUAAGAAGCCAUUGAAUUUGUAAAGCAAAUAAAUUGCCUUGGUCAAGAGACUAUGUUCAAUAACAACUUUUUUAUAGGGACUUUUACAUUUGUGUCCUUAACUCAAACCCACUACUCAGAUUUAUCGCUAAUUUCGAAGUAUGCUCAAAUUUUUCCCUCUACCGAUAGAUACCCUUAUAAAAAUGACCUUAUUGUCGUUUCCGUAUGGUCAAAGAGCUUUGAUCGACAUUUUCUGAAAUUUCUACCCCUCGAUGCAUAUGUCACCUACAAGUGGGACCUAAUAACGAAAAAUAAAAACAAAAACCCUAUCCACCCUAUAACUAACUUACAAGUGGGCCCAGAGCAAAAUAAGAAGAAAAACUGUCUCUCGCAACCCCUCUCUCUCCAUGUACAUGUGGGCGAGGGGACACAGAUUGAGGCAUGCCCGACCGUGAGCGGUUGUGCUCGCCGUUGCUUGCCCACUCCGGUCUCUUCCCCUCUCAUCUCUCUCUCUCUCUCUCUCUCUCUCUCUCUCUCUCUCUCUCUCUCUCUCUCUCUCUCCUCUACCCUUGCCUCCAUGGCCGUACCGAGCUCCCGCGGCUAACCUCGUCCCUUCUCCUAUCCUCCAUGUCUUGAAACUCCUCCGCGUUGCUCUCUUCCUUUCUGCCAAAAUAAUCUGGUCGGAGGAGCACCGUCGCUACACCACGGUCCAUCAUGUCUGUGGCCGGCCGCCGCUCGCCGUCGCCAGAUUCACCGCCGUAUGUUGAUCCCCGGUGCUCCCUGACAGUCAUAGAGAUCCAUAGGUGACUCGGAUAUUCCAGACACGUCUCCGACGAGCUUCUCUUCGUUUAGCCCCCUCCCCAUGAUGCCUCACUCCGGCGGCCGCCACGGGGGUCCGAGCUGACGCUACAAUGUCUCCCCGCGGUACUUGAUCACCCCAGGCUAGUGCAGCUUCGCGCUAGCAUCCUUCGAAGACUGCUCUCACGGCCCCAUGACCGCUUGGCCAUCUUCUCGUAUGUCGCCGGCAUAAUUCGUGUGCAGGCGCCGGCGUUCGGCCACUGUGGGCCAUGUGGACUUUUGUGAUUAACAAGCUGUUAGGCUAAGUAAAUGCGUAGUUAGGCUAACCAAUUGUUAAUUGUGCCAUUGCUAAUAAAAACUGUUAAUUGUGCCACUCACAUGUGGAUCCCGAGGCUUAACAAAUUUUGUAAAUUGUUUCAAGUUUUAUUUUUGGUCAGGGUCCACGUGUAAGUGUGUGAGAGUUUUAUUCCUUCUAUUUUAGGGUGGGCCCCCACAUGUAAGUGAUAGUAAGUGCCAGAGUGAGAGAAACUUUUUUCUUUUUUCUAGGGAUAAUGGGCCCCGCGUGUCAGUGUCACAUGCUGAGAGGGGUAAGACUGUCCAAAAAAUUUGCCGUAGACGGUCAAAGCCCUUUGACCGGAUGGAAAUGGCACAUAAGGGCAUUUUUAUAAGGGCAUCUAACGGUAGAGGAGUAAAUUUGAGCACACUCCAAAAUUAAUGGUAAAUCUAAGUAGUGAGUUUGAGUUAUGGACAGAAAUGUAGGAGUCCCUUGUUUAUAAUGCACCAAAGUGUCCAAGCCAAGGUCACAAAUCUAACCCAUUGGAGCCUAUGACCCUGACCUGAGCAAACCAAGAUCAUUUUGAAGACCCCCAUUGGAUGGCACCCAUGGCCCCCUAAGCUCCCAUCACACAACUCCGCAAGAACCGAACCAAAAUGUUGGAAAAAAUAUGAUUGAUAUCCUGGAAAGCAACAACCAUCUUUAUGGUCAUUGCCCUUCAGGACCUGGUCACCUGCCAGUGUUGCCCCCUGACCAGCUGCCAAAGGAAGAACUUUAUGUGCCGGGAAGGCACGCCUUCCAUAGCACCGUGAGCUCCUCUGAACCAUGGCCCGCAACAAUCUAUCUCAUACAGAUUUUGUGGAGAACUUUCGGGUGGCUCAAAAGCCCAUGAGUUGUGCCCCGGCCAUCAGACAAGGUCACCCCCACCAACUUGGCAACAAAAGACUCGCUUCCUCUAACUCAGGUGGCCCGAAAGAGUGGCGGAAUGAGAGGUUCCUGCCAAAUUCCUAUGACCUCCGCAACCGACAUCCCAGGUUGGUUAGAUAUAGCAAACAAAGACAGCAAAUGGUCCUGAAGCGGCUGAUCACCCAACCACCAGUCAAGCCAAAAUAAUGUGCCCAUUCUAGAGCCAACCUUAAUUGACACCCCAAAGACGGAAGCACAACUUGAGGGCCUAGAUAGCCUGCCAUAACUAUUAAUCCUUGACCCCGAGGGCAGAUGGCGAAGGAAUGCCCAUGGAGACAAGUCACCUUGAUAAGACCAAGCCAAAGCCUGCCCUCCUUAGAAAAAAUCCCCCAAAUCCAUUUGGUCAUAAAGCAAGGAUUCAUACAUAUAGUUGACAUGAUGCCUAGACCGCUUGUUCUUUCGGCAUACAUGUUCACACAUUUGACCAUGUGGUAUAUCUCCUCGCCCGCCUCCCCUUGCCAAAAGAAUCUCCAUUAAAAUUUAUCAAUGGUCGCAUGAGAUCCUUCUGGAAAUAGAUAGAAUCUUAUAACAAAAGUGGGGAGGCUGGCUAUGAAGGAAUUGGUGAACACCGACUUAUCCGCCUUGGAUGUGAGACAACCCAACCAUGGAUCACCUUGAUGUUGAGCCUGAUCUAACACUAAUGUCUACUACACAACUAGUUCUUGUAGACUCGUGUUGGGCCUCCAAGCGCAGAGUUUUGUAGGACAGUAGCAAAUUUCCCUCAAGUGGAUGACCUAAGGUUUAUCAAUCCAUGGGAGGCGUAGGAUGAAGAUGGUCUCUCUCAAACAACCCUGCAACCAAAUAAUAAGAAGUCUCUUGUGUCCCCAACACACCAAAUACAAUGGUAAAUUGUAUAGGUGCACUAGUUCGGCGAAGAGAUGGUGAUACAAGUGUAGUAAUGAUGGUCGAUAUUGAUUUUUGUAAUAGGAACAAUAAAAAAUAGCAAGGUAGCAAUUGAUAAAAUGGAGCACAAACGGUAUUGGAAUGCUUGAAAAUGAGGCCUAGGGUCCGUACUUUCGCUAGUGGAAUCUCUCAACCAUGCUAAUCUAAUUGGAUCACAUAACCAUCCCUCAACGUGCGAUGAAGAAUCACUCCAAAGUUCUUAUCUAGCGGAGAACAUAAGAAGAAAUUGUUUGUAGGGUACGAAACCACCUUAAAGUUAUUCUUUCCGUUCGAUCUAUUCAAGAGUUCAUACUAAAAUAACGCAAAGUUAUUCCUUUCGUUCGAUCUAUCCAAGAGUUCAUACUAAAAUAACAUCAUCUGAUACACAUCAACCAACUCUAAUGUCACCUAGAUACUCUAAUGUCACCACAAGUAUCCGUGAGUUAAUUAUACAAUACACAUCAAACAAUUUCAGAUUCAUAAUACUCGAUCCAACACAAAGAACCUCAAAGAGUGCCCAAGAUUUCUACCGGAGAAACAAGGAUGAAAACGUGCAUCAACCCCUAUGCAUAGAUUACCCCAAUGUCAUCUCAGGAAUCCGUGAGUUGAGUGCCAAAACAUAUAACAAGUGAAUCAAUAUAAUACCCCAUUGUCACCACGGGUAUUGAUACGUCUCCAACGUAUAUAUAAUUUUUAAUUGUUCCAUGCUAUUAUAUUAUCUGUUUUGGAUGUUUAAUGGGCUUUAUUAUGCAGUUUUAUAUUAUUUUUUGGACUAACCUAUUAACCAAAGGCCCAGUGCAAAUUGUUGUUUUUUUGCCUAUUUCGGUGUUUCGUACAAAAGGAAUAUCAAAGGGAGUCCAAACGGAAUGAAACCUUCGGGAGAGUUAUUUUUGGAACAAAUGCAAUCCAGGAGACUUGGAGUGGACGUCAAUAAAGAAACGAGGCGGCCACGAGGCAGGAGGGCGCGCCCCCACCCUCGUGGGCCCCUCGUGGCUCCACUGAACUACUUCUUUCGCCUAUAUAUACUCAUAUACCCUCAAAACAUCCAAGAGCACCACAAAACCCUAUUUCCACCGCCGCAACCUUCUGUGCCCAUGAGAUCCCAUCUUCGGGCCUUUUCCGGUGCUCCGCCGGAGGGGGAAUCGGUCACGGAGGGCUUCUAUAUCAACACCAUAGCCUCUCCGAUGAUGUGUGAGUAGUUUACCACAGACCUUCAGGUCCAUAGUUAUUAGCUAGAUGGCUUCUUCUCUCUCUUUGGAUCUCAAUACAAAGUUCUCCUCGAUUAUCUUGGAGAUCUAUUCGAUGUAAUUCUUUUUGCGGUGUGUUUGUCGAGAUCUGAUGAAUUGUGGGUUUGUGAUCAAGAUUAUCUAUGAACAAUUUUUGAUACUUCUCUGAAUACUUUUAUGCAUUAUUUAAUUAUCUUUGCAAGUCUCUUCGAAUUAUCAGUUUGGUUUGGCCUACUAGAUUGAUCUUUCUUGCAAUGGGAGAAGUGCUUAGCUUUGGGUUCAAUCUUGCGGUGUCCUUUCCCAGUGACAGCAGGGGCAGCAAGGCACGUAUUGUAUUGUUGCCAUCGAGGAUAAAAAGAUGGGGUUUAUAUCAUAUUGUUUGAGUUUAUCCCUCUACAUCAUGUCAUCUUGCCUAAUGCGUUACUCUUUUCUUAUGAACUUAAUACUCUAGAUGCAUGCUGGAUAGCGGUCGAUGUGUGGAGUAAUAGUAGUAGAUGCAGAAUCGUUUCGAUCUACUUGUCAUGGACGUGAUGCCUAUAUACAUGAUCAUGCCUAGAUAUUCUCAUAACUAUGCGCUUUUCUAUCAAUUGCUCGACAGUAAUUUGUUCACCCACCGUAAAUUAUGCUAUCUUGAGAGAAGCCACUAGUGAAACCUAUGGCCCCCGGGUCUAUCUUCCAUCAUAUUAAUCUCCCAGUAAUUUGCUAUUUUUGUCAGCGUUUACUGUGCAGUCUUUACUUUCCAAUCUAUAUCAUAAAAAAUACCAAAAAUAUUUCUCUUAUUAUCUCUAUCAGAUCUCACUUUUGCAAGUGGCCGUGAAGGGAUUGACAACCCCUUUAUCGCGUUGGUUGCAAGGUUCUUAUUUGUUUGUGCAGGUACGAGGGACUUGUGCGUAGUCUCCUACUGGAUUGAUACCUUGGUUCUCAAAAACUGAGGGAAAUACUUACACUACUUUGUUGCAUCACCCUUUCCUCUUCAAGGGAAAACCAACGCAUGCUCAAGAGGUAGCAAGAAGGAUUUCUGGCGCCGUUGCCAGGGAGAUCUACGCUCAAGUCAAGACAUACCAAGUACCCAUCACAAACUCUUAUCCCUCGCAUUACAUUAUUUUCCAUUUGCCUCUCGUUUUCCUCUCCCCCACUUCACCUUUGCCGUUUUAUUCACCCUCUUUUUCGUUCGCCCUUUUUCUUGCUUCUUGUGUGCUUGUGUGUUGGAUUGUUUGUUAUGAUGGCUCAAGACAAUACUAAAUUGUGUGAUUUUUCCAAUACCAACAACAAUGAUUUUCUUAGCACUCCGAUUGCCCCUAUUACCGAUGCUGAAUCUUGUGAAAUUAAUGUUGCUUUAAUGAAUCUUUUCAUGAAAGAUCAAUUCUCCGGCCUUCCUAGUGAAGAUGCCGCUACACAUCUAAACAACUUUGUCGAUUUGUGUGAUAUGCAAAAGAAGAAAGAUGUGGAUAAUGAUAUUGUUAAAUUGAAGCUAUUUCCAUUUUAGCUUAGAGAUCGUGCUAAAACUUGGUUUUCAUCUUUGCCUAAAAAUAGUAUUGAUUCAUGGAAUAAGUGCAAAGAUGCCUUUAUCUCUAAGUAUUUUCCUCCCGCUAAGAUCAUCUCUCUUAGAAAUGAUAUUAUGAAUUUUAAGCAACUUGAUCAUGAGCAUGUUGCACAAGCUUGGGAAAGGAUGAAAUUAAUGAUACAUAAUUGCCCUACUCAUGGUUUGAAUUUAUGGAUGAUAAUACAAAAAAUUUAUGCCGGAUUGAAUUUUGCUUCUAGAAAUCUUUUAGAUUCGGCCGCGGGAGGCACUUUUAUGGAAAUCACUUUAGGAUAAGCUACUAAAGUCCUAGAUAAUAUUAUGGUUAAUUAUUCUCAAUAGCACACCGAAAGAUCUACUAGUAAAAAGGUUCAUGCGAUAGAAGAGAUUAAUGUUUUGAGUGGAAGAUAGAUGAACUUAUGAAAUUGUUUGCUAAUAAGAGUGUUCCUUCUGAUCCUAAUGAUAUGCCUUUUUCUACUUUGAUUGAGAAUAAUAAUGAAUCUAUGGAUGUGAAUUUGUUGGUAGGAACAAUUUUGGUAACAACGCGUAUAGAGGAAACUUUAAUUCUAGGCCGUUCCCUAGUAAUUCCUCUAAUAAUUAUGGUAAUUCCUACAACAACUCUGAAAUUUAAUAAGAUGCCCUCUGAUUUUGAGACUAGUGUUAAAGAAUUUAUGAUUUCGCAAAAGAAUUUCAAUGCCUUGCUUGAAGAAAAAUUUCCUAAGAUUGAUGAGUUGGCUAGGAACGUGCAUAUAAUUUCUCUUGAUGUUGAUUCUUUGAAACUUAGAUCUAUUCCACCUAAGCAUGAUAUCAAUGAGUCUCUCAAAUCUAUGAGAAUUUCCAUUGAUGAGUGCAAAGAAAGAACCACUAGGAUGCGUGCUAAAAAAGAUUGCUUUAUAAAAGCGUGUUCUUCUAGUUUUCAUGAUAAUAAGGAUGAAGAUCUAAAAGUGAUUGAUGUGUCUCCUAUUAAAUCUUUGUUUUUCAAUAUGAAUCUUGAUAAUGAUGGGACUGGAGAUGAGUCAACUUUAGUUAAAAGGCGUCCCAAUGAUUUGGAGUUUUUAGAUCUUGAUGCAAAAAUUGGUAAAAGUGGGAUUGAAGAGGUCAAAACUUUACAUGGCAAUGAACCCACUAUUUUGGAUUUCAAGGAAUUUAAUUAUGAUAAUUGUUCUUUAAAAGAUUGUAUUUCCUUGUUGCAAUCCGUGUUAAAUUCGCCUCAUGCUUAUGCUCAAAAUAAAGCUUUCACUAAACAUAUCGUUGAUGCCUUAAUGCAAUCUAAUGAAGAAAAGCUUGAAUUGGAAGUUUCUAUCCCUAGAAAACUUUAUGAUGAGUGGGAACCUACUAUUAAAAUUAAGAUUAAAGAUCAUGAAUGCUAUGCUUUGUGUGAUUUGGGUGCUAGUGUUUCCACGAUUCCAAGAACUUUGUGUGAUGUGUUAGGUUUCCAUGAAGUUGAUAAUUGUUCUUUAAAUUUGCAUCUUGCGGAUUCCACCAUUAAGAAACCUAUGGGAAGAAUUAAUGAUGUUCUUAUUGUUGCAAAUAAGAAUUAUGUGCCUGUAGAUUUCAUUGUUCUCGAUAUAGAUUGCAAUCCUACAUGUCCUAUUAUUCUUGGUAGACCUUUCCUUAGAACGAUUGGUGCAAUUAUUGAUAUGAAAGAAGGAAAUAUUAGAUUCCAAUUUCAGUUAAGGAAAGGCAUGGAACACUUUCCUAGGAAGAAAAUUAAAUUACCUUAUGAACCUAUUAUGAGAGCCACUUAUGGAUUGCAUACCAAAGAUGGCAAUACCUAGAUCUAUUCUUGCUUUUAUGCCUAGCUAGGGGCGUUAAACGAUAGCGCUUGUUGGGAGGCAACCCGAUUUUAUUUUUGUUUCUUGAUUUUUGGUUCUAUUUAGUAAUAAAUAAUUCAUCUAGCUUCUGUUUAGAUGUUUUUAAUGUUUCAAUUAGUGUUUGUGCCAAGUACCUUUGGGAAGACUUGGGUGAAGUCUUUGCGAUCUUGCUGUAAAAAACAGAAGCUUUAGCGCUCACGACAUUAGCUACAAUUUUUUUACUGGAGAGUGAUUUUACGUUGAUUCUUCUUUCAGAUGAUUAAUAGACAAAUUACUCACGUCCACCAAUUUAUUUCAGAAUUUUUGGAGUUACAGAAGUAUACGUUUGAUACAAAUUACUACAAAAUGUUCUGUUUUUGACAGAUUCUGUUUUUCGUGUGUUGUUUGCUUAUUUUGAUGAAUCUAUGGCUAGUAUCGGGGGGUAUGAACCAUAAAGAAGUUGGAAUACAAUAGUUUAACAACAAUAUAAAUAUAGAAUGAGUUCAUUACAGUACCUUAAAGUGGUGAUUUGUUUUCUUAUACUAACAGAGCUCAUGAGAUUUUCUGUUGAGUUUUGUGUAGUGAAGUUUUCAAGUUUUGGGUAAAGAUUUGAUGGAUUUUGGAAUAAGGAGUGGCAAGAGCCUAUGCUUGGGGAUGCCCAAGGCACCCCAAGGUAAAAUUCAAGGACAACCAAAAGCCUAAGCUUGGGGAUGCCCCAGAAGGCAUCCCCUCUUUCAUCUUCGUCUAUCGGUAACUUUACUUGAGGCUAUAUUUUUAUUCACCACAUGAUAUGUGUUUUGCUUGGAGCGUCUUGUAUGAUUUGAGUAUUUGCUUUUUAGUUUACCACAAUCAUCCUUGCUGUAAACACCUUUUGGAGAGACACACAUGAAUCGGAAUUUAUUAAAAUACUCUUUGUGCUUCACUUAUAUCUUUUGAGCUAGAUAAUUUUGCUCUAGUGCUUCGCUUAUAUCUUUUAGAGCACGGUGGUGGUUUUAGUUUAUAGAAAUUAUUGAUCUCUCAUGCUCCACUUAUAUUAUUUUGAGAGUCUUAUAGAACAGCAUGGUAAUUUGCUUUGGCUAUAAAAUUAGUCCUAAUAUGAUGAACAUCCAAGAUGGGUAUAAUAAAAACUAUCAUAUAAAGUGCAUUGAAUACUAUGAGAAGUUUGAUACUUGAUGAUUGUUUUGAGAUAUGAAGAUAGUGAUAUUAGAGUCAUGCUAGUAGAGUAGUUGUGAAUUUGAGAAAUACUUGUUCUGAAGUUUGUGAUUCCCGUGGCAUGCACGUAUGGUGAACCGUUAUGUGAUGAAGUCGGAGCAUGAUUUAUUUAUUGAUUGUCUUCCUUAUGAGUGGCGGUCGGGGACGAGCGAUGGUCUUUUCCUACCAAUCAAUCCCCCUAGGAGCAUGCGCGUAGUACUUUGUUUUGAUAACUAAUAGAUUUUUACAAUAAGUAUGUGAGUUCUUUAUGACUAAUGUUGAGUCCAUGGAUUAUACGCACUCUCACCCUUCCACCAUUGCUAGCUUCUCUAAUACCGCGCACCUUUCGUCGGUAUCAUACACCCACCUUAUACCUUCCUCAAAACAGCCACCAUACCUACCAAUUAUGGCAUUUCCAUAGCCAUUCCGAGAUAUAUUGCCAUGCAACUUACCACCGUUCCGUUUGUUAUGACACGUUUCAUCAUUGUCAUAUUGCUUUGCAUGAUCAUGUAGUUGACAUUGUAUUUGUGGCAAAGCCACCUUUAUAAUUCUUUCAUACAUGUCCCUCUUGAUUCAUUGCAUAUCCGGGUACACCGCCGGAGGCAUUCACAUAGAGUCAUAUUUUGUUCUAAGUAUUGAGUUGUAAGUAAAUAAAAGUGUGAUGAUCAUCAUUAUUAGAGCAUUGUCCCAAAUGAGAAAAGGAUGAUGGAGACUAUGAUUCCCCCAUAAGUCGGGAUGAGACUCCGGACGAAAAAGAAAAAAAAAGAAAAAAGAGGCCAUAUAAAAAAAAGAGAAAAAGGCCCAAAUAAAAAAAGAGAGAAAAAGAGAGAAGGGACAAUGUUACUAUCCUUUUACCACGCUUGUGCUUCAAAGUAUUACCAUGAUCUUCAUGAUAGAGAGUCUCCUAUGUUGUCACUUUCAUAUACUAGUGGGAAUUUUCAUUAUAAGAACUUGGCUUGUAUAUUCCAAUGAUGGGCUUGCUCAAAAUGCCCUAGGUCUUGGUGAGCAAGCGAGUUGGAGACACACCCACUUAGUUUCUUUUGUUGAGCUUUCAUACACUUAUAUCUCUAGUGCAUCCGUUGCAUGGAAAUCCCUACUCACUCACAUUGAUAUCUAUUGAUGGGCAUCUCCAUAGCCCGUUGAUACGCCUAGUUGAUGUGAGACUAUCUUCUCCUUUUUUGUCUUCUCCACAACCACCCUUCUAUUCCACAUAUAGUGCUAUGUCCAUGGCUCACGCUCAUGUAUUGCGCGAAGUUCAAAAAGUUUGAGAACAUCAAAAGUAUGAAACAAUUGCUUGGCUUGUCAUCGGGGUUGUGCAUGAUUAAAUACUUUGUGUGAUGAACAUAGAGCAUAGCCAGACUAUAUGAUUUUGUAGGGAUAACUUUCUUUGGCCAUGUUAUUUUGAGAAGACAUGAUUGCUUUGUUAGUAUGCUUGAAGUAUUAUUAUUUUUAUGUCAAUAUUAAACUUUUAUCUUGAAUCUUUCGGAUCUGAACAUUCAUGCCACAAUAAAGAAAAAAUACAUUGAGAAUUAUGCUAGGUAGCAUUCCACAUCAAAAAUUCUGUUUUUAUCAUUUACCUACUCGAGGACGAGCAGGAAUUAAGCUUGGGGAUGCUUGAUACGUCUCCAACGUAUCUAUAAUUUUUUUAUUGUUCCAUGCUAUUAUAUUAUCUGUUUUGGAUGUUUAAUAGGCUUUAUUAUGCACUUUUAUAUUAUUUUUGGGACUAACCUAUUAACCAAAGGCCCAGUGCAAAUUGCCGGUUUUUUUUGCCUAUUUCAGUGUUUCGCAGAAAAGGAAUAUCAAAUGGAGUCCAAACGGAAUGAAAACUUCGGGAGAGUAAUUUUUGGAACAAACGCAAUCCAGGAGACUUGGAGUGGAUGUCAAGAAAGAAACGAGGAGGCCACGAGGGAGGAGGGCGCGCCCAGGGGGUAGGCACGCUCCCCACCCUCGUGGGUCCCUCGUGGCUCCACCGACCUACUUCUUUGGCCUAUAUAUACUCAUAUACCCUGAAAACAUCCAAGAGCACCAUGAAACCCUAUUUCCUCCGCCGCAACCUUCUGUACCCAUGAGAUCCCAUCUUGGGGCCUUUUCCGGCACUCCGCCGGAGGGGGAAUCGAUCACGGAGGGCUUCUACAUCAACACCAUAGCCUCUCCGAUGAUGUGUGAGUAGUUUACCACAGACCUUCGGGUCCAUAGUUAUUAGCUAGAUGGCUUCUUCUCUCUCUUUGGAUCUCAAUACAAAGUUCUCCUCGAUUCUCUUGGAGAUCUAUUCGAUGUAAUACUUUUUGCGGUGUGUUUGUCGAGAUCCGAUGAAUUGUGGGUUUAUGAUCAAGAUUAUCUAUGAACAAUAUUUGAUUCUUCUCUGAAUUCUUUUAUGCAUGAUUUAAUUAUCUUUGCAAGUCUCUUCGAAUUAUCAGUUUGGUUUGGCCUACUAGAUUGAUCUUUCUUGCAAUGGGAGAAGUGCUUAGCUUUGGGUUCAAUCUUGCGGUGUCCUUACCCAGUGACAACAGGGGCAGCAAGGCACGUAUUGCAUUGUUGCCAUCGAGGAUAAAAAGAUGGGGUUUAUAUCAUAUUGUUUGAGUUUAUCCCUCUACAUCAUGUCAUCUUGCCGAAUGCGUUACUGUGUUCUUAUGAACUUAAUACUCUAGAUGCAUGCUAGAUAGCGGUCGAUGUGUGGAGUAAUAGUAGUAGAUGCAGAAUCGUUUCGGUCUACUUGUCACGGACGUGAUGCCUAUAUACAUGAUCAUGCCUAGAUAUUCUCAUAACUAUGCGCCUUUCUAUCAAUUGCUCGACAGUAAUCCGUUCACCCACCUUAAAUUAUGCUAUCUUGGGAGAAGCCACUAGUGAAACCUAUGGCCCCCGGGUCUAUCUUCCAUCAUAUUAAUGUCCUAGCAAUUUGCUAUUUCUGUCACCGUUUACUUUGUAAUCUUUACUUUCCAAUCUAUAUCAUAAACAAAUACCAAAAAUAUUUAUCUUAUUAUCUCUAUCAGAUCUCACUUUUGCAAGUGGCCGUGAAGGGAUUGACAACCCCUUUAUCGCAUUGGUUGCAAGGUUCUUAUUUGUUUGUGCAGGUACGAGGGACUUGCGCGUAGUCUCCUACUGUGUCGGAUGUGGGGUUCCGGCAAACCCUUAAGGUUCGAACACUAGGGUGCGCGCGAAGUCUUUCCCUCCUACCGAUCUACGCCCUAGCUCGCUAAGAUCUCGCGGACGAACUCGACGAACUCGCAACAUAGAAAGACACGAGGUUUAUACUGGUUCGGGCCACCAUUGUGGUGUAAUACCCUCCUCCAGUGUGGUGGUGGUGGAUUGCCUCUAGGGCUGAUGAUGAAGAGUACAAGGAAAGAACAGCCUCCUGAGGUUGAGGUGUUCUUGUGGCUAGGUAGGCUCUCGAUCGGGUUGGAUCAAGCUAAGAUGAGAUGCCCCUACUAUGGUGGCUAGCUCUACUUAUAUAGGCCCUGGUCCUCUUCCCAAAUAUCGAGCGGGAAGGGAGCCAACAACGGCGGGCAAAUUUGAAGGGGGACAGCUAGUACAAGCUAUCCUGACAAAAGCGGUCUUCGCCUGCGAAAAGCUCUGGUGGUGACGCCGUCUUGGGCUCCAUGAUGACCUCCGUCUUGCCGUCCUCCUGGUCUCGGUCUCGUUGCACCAAUAUAGCAACCUUUGUCUGAUGCCUCGGUACUCUUCGCCUGCGCUGGCCUCCUUAGCACCAAAGAGGAAAUAAGGACGCUGCGCACGCUCGCGCCCGCCUGGUGUCGUUCGUCAUGGCUCACGUCAGGAGAGCCACGUGAGGUUUUGGCCCGCCUUGAUAUCUCCGCUCCUCGUGAGCCUGCCUGGCUAGGCCACUCCCGAGGAGGUCUUGCGUCAUCCGCCUCGUGAGGCUUGGACCCUCGCGAGGGUCUUGGAUGCCUUGUUGAUGAAGAUGGGCCAUACGGCCUGCUGGCUUAGCCACGCUAUGGGCCGCAGGCAGGCAAGUCAGGGGACCCCCGUUCCCAGAACGCCGACAGUAGCCCCCGGGCCCAAGGUGCGCUCGGACUUGGCUUCGCGGCGAAGCCAAGGGUCAAGUUCGGAGCACCGCGGGCCCCAAAAGCCUGCGGCCUCGGUUGACGCGUGGCGAUCGAUUGGAUGUGGGCGUCUCCGCUUUCCCACGCUGCCUCGGCAACUACUUGAUCUGACAAAAGGCUGGCGCGGGCAGUUCUUUCCUUCAUUGCUUCCUCAUCGACUCGCUCCAGAUCCCCUUUCUCGCUCCUCGCCACCGCUACCUCCAGAUCUGCUCCAACUUUGCUCUGCAUCUGCAUCCCAUGGCGCCGCGCAAGGUCAAUACUUCCUCGGCACCGGCUUGGUAUGAGCCCGCUCUUGAAGCGCCCACCAUCACGGAGAAGAGCCUCGCCUCCGUGCGCCUACUGACGGCGGGGGAGAGGGAAGACGAAGCUCCGGCUCGCCUCCGACGAGCCGGAGCCUGAGGGGAGCACCUUCUUCCCCUUCUUCUCGAGCAGCGUCGCCGUCGGGUUGGUCCCUCCUUUCUCCGAUUUCUUUUAUGAAGUCCUCGACCACUACGGUCUGCAGGCGUUGCAUCUCCAUCCCAACUCUGUCCUCCUCCUGUCCAUCUUCGCCUACUACUGUGAGGCGUACCUGGGCGUUAUGUCAUCCGUGGCGCUCCUGCGCCAUUUCUUCUUCCUCCGUGUCAGCGAGAUGCACAUCUCCGGAUGCGCUAAUUUCGUUGCAUGCGGCAAGGCCAACUCGAUCUCGAGCACCGGGAAGGGGGCCGAUAACAUUCGAUCCAAAUGGGUCAUGAUGGACGCCAAGCACGCCGACCCUCGCCUGGCGUUGCCAACGGCGGCGCCCCCUUCCAACGGGGGGUGGCCCAAGGCGGAGCUUGCCGAUGAGCGGGCAUCGCUAGUGUUGGGGCAGAUGAUGACCGAUUUGAAGCCGGGCAAUGCGAGGCGGCCAAGGUAACGGGGGCGAUGCUCCUGAGGGAGUUCUUGAUGCUGCGGGUUGCCCCACUCUAGGCGCGCGCGCCCCCUGUGGGAGCUUGAAGAAGAGGGAAACAAGACCCGCCUGAGGCCGGGGGACCUGCCUGGCGAUGAAUUGGACGCUGUCCUACGCCUCAUAGUCGGGGACAACCAGGAGUACCCGCCUAGCGCCUUCGUUCCCUUGUUUCAACGCAGGGUCCGGGAGGAAUUCGUCGCCUCCAGGCCGACUUUUGACGUGCGCGGGCUGGUGCCGCCGGCGCUUCCGGGGGCUCCUGCGGCACAGAAACCGGUGGAGGUGUCUUCUGGUGAGUCCCGCGAAGAGGGGGAAGAGGGGGUGGACUCGGAGAAGACUCUGGAAGAGGUGGGGGAGACUUCCCCUCUGAGCAAGGCCGAGAUUCUCCGCGCCCUUCCUGACGGUGCCGAGGCCGACGCCUACCAAGGGGAGAGGGAGCAGCCCCUCAUCCCGACGAGGGGUAGGUCGUCGCUGGUGGCCCGCGGUGCCGCCUCUGCCCUGGCACCUCCUAGGGCUGGCUCCGGCUCUGCCUCUGCUCCGCCUGGCGCCGCCGGAGCCCGAACGCCUGUUCCUCAAGUCCCGAAGCUGUCAGGCUUCAAGCUUCCCAAGCGGACAGUGGAAUACAUCGCAGUGGAUCGGUAAGUGUCUUGAGCUUCGCCUUGUCCUCGUUUGUGCUCGCCAUUUCCUGAUGCUCGCCCUUGGUUGAUCAGGCCGACGUCUUCGGCGAAGAAGAGGAAAGAGGAUAUGGCGGCCGUGCCUCCCUCCGCGGAGAAAGGAGGCAGCAGCGCCCGCAUCUCCCCAGCCCGAUCGUCCUCGCGAGGCCAAGAGGAGCAUCGCCACGUGGAAUCAGCCCCCAUGGCCCCGCUGGCUCCGGAGGUGCCGGCACUUGGCACGGCUGAUGAGGUCCCAGCUGCUCCGGAACCCGUGAUCUCCCAAGUCCUGGUGACGAAGUCGCCUCCUCCCACUGUUGCGCCUCCACUCCCAGGUUCUGCUGCUCCUGCUGCUGUUCUGGAACGCGCUCUUUCGGAGAUAACCCAUCUGCAGGCGGAUCUCCUGAGCGCGGACCCAUGCCUUGUGGUCGGGCGCCUGGAGCUGGCCUCAGGCUGGCUCCACUCCGACUUGGUCGUUCGCGCGGCGCUGGGCCGGGCCGCUGCGGCUUCUGAGAAGGAGAAGCAGAGUGCCGCCAACGCCGCAGCCGAUCGCGAGGCGGCACUGAAAGACGCCAAGGCCGCCCGUGAUUGCUGCCAGGUGCUGGAGGACGAGCUACAAAGUCUGCGCGACAAGCAUGCCGAAGAAGCACGCUGCCGCCAAGCAAGGGAGGAGGAGAUGAAGGCCUGGGAGGACGCCGUCAAAAAACUGUGAUGUUGAGCUGGCGGAGUUGGGGAGGACGCAGGCCGCCGAGCGCGACCAGUUGGAAGAGCUGGAGCGGAAGGCGACGGCGAGGGAGGCUGAUCUCGAUGCCAAGGCGCGACUCCUGGCCGAAGACCGCGUGGCCUUCACCGAUCUCGAGAAGAGAUCUCGCCAGGCGCUGAAGACGUUGUACGAGCACGGCCUGGAGAAGUCGCUCGCCACUGACGAGGACGGCCCCGCCCAGCUGCGUCCUCUCUUGGUGGAGGCACUGGAGGAAGUCGUUGAUGGCGUUGGUCCCAUGGCGGAGGCGGAAGCUCGCGUCCUGUCUUCAGCUGCGUUGACCCGCGUCUUCAGCCACCUGCACCUUCGUGACCCCAGCGCGUGCCUUGACGAGCUGCUGGAGCCUGUUGCUGAAGAUCAAUGCGAGGCCGCCGCCGCAGCCGUGCAAGGUCAGGUGGAGGCCUUGCUGAAGAAGUUCCGCGGCUUUGUCUCCGCUCCUCUGUCCGGCGACGCCGCCGAUCCUGCGGCGGGUGGUGAAGGCGAGAACAUCGUUGCCCACGGGGAAGCGCCUUCCGCAGGCGAUGGCGACGUCCAGGGGUGACCUGCGGCUGUUUCUCCCGUUUCGUUCCUGCAACAUGUAUCAGGCCUCGUGGAGGCGUUUAGACUUUUCAUUUGGUACUGUGAGGACAAUAUGCUUGUAAUAUUUUCUUCGAGAUUUUGCGAUUUCCUUCCUAUUUGCUUUGCGUUCUGCGUCGGCAGAGCCCGGCCCCACGCAUACCUCAACCGCCAUUGGGCCGACCGGAGACCAGGACGAACCAAGGAGUGAGGGGCUACGUGACCAGUUAGGCUCCUGAGUCACGAUGCUCAGGAGUCCCCCUUGACGCGCAAACAGCCUAUAGGGAGAGUUCGCGAGGAUAGAUUAAUGUUCUACGUCGGCAGAGCCCGGCCCCGCGCAUACCUCAACCGCCAUUGGGCCAACUGGAGACCAGUACGGACCAAGGAGUGAGGGGCUACGUGACCAGUUAGGCUCCUGAGUCGCGAUGCUCAGGAGUCCCCCUUGACGUGCAAACAAUUUCCAUACUUGCCCUUGCCGAGGCCUCGGGAGGGGUGCGCGACGCCCAGGUCCGGGAGACCUGGUUGGGUGGCGUGCGCUGGGGCGCGACCCGAGCGGGUGCGACCCGAGCGCAGCCCCCGUUUCCAGCCCCCUCGCGUGGCUCUCCCGAGGGGAGGCGUUGAGGUGAGGCUGGACGCUGAGCUCUGGGCUCCCUGAGGUUGGUACGACCGUGGGGCCGCCCUCGGUUGUUUAUCACCAGCACGGAGCAUAGUGCUUCCUCUUGUGCAUGGGCAUAGCGCUCCUCGGCAGUGUCGUCAGCCAGCGCGGACCAUGGUGCUUCCACUUGUGCGUGAGAUGGGGCCCCCUCCGGGAGGAGCCCCCGGGGCGUGUACAGCCCCGCCCUGACACGUGGCUUGCACGGCAGGGCUGCGAGGUGUAUCUGGGCACUCGUGAGCCAGCGCGGGACUCACGAGGCCCUACCUCAAGGCGGGUUGCGCCUGGUCUUGGGCCUUGGUGACUGUGUGUUCCUGCAAGGCGGUUAGAUGCAAGCACUCUACGUCCUCAGGUCCCGGCCCUCGAGCGAGCUCAGCCGCCGCUGGUAUGCCAGGUCGCGAUGCCGUGGUCAAGGCCAGGGGUGAGGGCUGGAGAGCCAGUAAGAGCUCCUGAGUCGCGAUGCUCAGGAGCCCCCCUUUUAACGCGCAAGCGAAUUGCAUAGGAUGAACAGACUCGUGACAGGCAGCGAUCGAGCAGGCGAUAGCAGUUGGCAAGUUAAGCAUGAAAAGCAGAUCAACAUGGAUAAAUGCAGGAAGAUACAUGCCACCGGGUCCGGCCCGAGCGGCUUGGGGAUGAUGAAGCCCGAGGGGCGCCCCCAGCAAGGUAAGCUAAAGACAUAAGCAAAAGGGAUACAUGCCGCAGGGACGGACCCAUGCGGCCUGGGAAUAAUGCAGCCCGAGGGGCGCUCCCAGCUAAACGAGCUCGGAAGAUGUCACCUGGUUCUGUAGACGAAGUAGAGUCGGUGUGGCUGAAGGCGUGCGUUGAAGAAAUGACUCCUCACGAGCCACCGGAGUCCGGAGCCUCGGGAGGCUCUGGAGGCUCGGGAGGUUCCCUGAAGACCGUCUCCAUCUCUUCCAGGACGGCGUGGUACCUGGCUUCCUGAGCCGCCAGGACACGCCGCAUGUUGCACUGAUAGGCCGACGCCACGCUCGGCAAGCCGAAGGGCAUGCGAACGUAGAUGUGUGGCGGGCCCUCGCAGCGGCCCACACGCGAAGGCCAGAAGCGCUCCUGAGACGCAGCCCUGUUGAGCCCUGGGACGUUGAUGCAGACACGCAGCCCAGCAUCCUCGCCAGGAUGGGGGGCUGCGCCUCGUGAGCGGCGGUCGCCGCGCAUGGCUCCUGCAUCUUGCAGUUCCUGGGUGGUCUUGGUGAUGAACUCCUGGGUGGUGGGCACUCCUUGCCCCGUGCUCUCCUGAGGAACAUGUGUCGCGAAGCACGCUUCCAGGUAGUGCCCAAGCGCCUCCCUCGUGAGGUCGGCAAGGUCUGAGGCCCUCCAGAAGAGAGGCCCCGAGCCCUGCCUGAGGAGGGCGCCGGGCGCGCCUUCCUAUGCGACAGAGGGAGGCGCCCCUGGGACGGGCGCUGAUCCUGAUGAGGCUCCUGCCGCGACGCCAUCCUCCUGAGGUCCUGCGCGGCGCAGCUGCUUCUUCUUGGGGAUGGCCUCCAGAGGGCCCUCACUUCCGUUGUUGGGGUCGUCGAUUGCCGCAGCUUGGAAGGCGCGCUCGAGGGAGCAGACCGCAUCCCUCUAUUCACAUGGGACCGUGAUGAUUCCUCCGCUUCCUGGCAUCUUGAGGACAUUGUAGCCGUGAUGGGUGACUGCCAUGAACUGGGCCAGGGCCGGAUACCCGAGGAUGGCAUUGUACGGCAGGCGGAUGUGCGCGACGUCGAAGUCGAUGAGCUCGGUGCGGUAGUUCUUGUGCUCCCCGAAGGUGACAGGCAGGCGGACCUGCCCUAUCGGGGUGGUGGACUCGUCGGUCACUCUUGAGAAAGGCUUGCUGGGCUGGAGCUGUUCAUAUGGCACUUGGAGGUUGUCGAACGUGUCGACGGACAGGACGUUGAGCCCUGCGCCGCCGUCGAUGAGGGUCUUGGUAACCUGCACAUUGCUGAUGACUGGGGAACACGGCACCGGCGGUGGCCGCGCGUUUGAGCUGAUCUGCCGAGCUGAAAGUGAUGGCGCAUUGGGACCACUUGAGCGGGCGCGUGGCCUCGAGCUUGGGAAGCACCACGUUCACCUCGCGAGCGAACUGUUUGAAGAUGCGCUGAGAGGCUGGGGCCUGGGAGCCGCCCAAGGUGCAAGCGAUCGCACGCGGCUCCUGGAAGCCUCCAGCCCCCUCGUCCUGGUGGUGGUCAUCGUUCCUUCUUAGUGGCGGCAGUGGGGGAAGACCGGUGUUGCCCUGAGGGCGAUCCUCAUGAGGCGGGUCUCUCCAGGCACCCUCGCGAGGUUGGUCCUGCCAGCGGUCCUCGCGAGGCCUGUCGCGCUAUUCCUGGCGCGGGCCACGGUCGUCCCAGCGUCCACCCCCACGUCCUCCUCCGCGGCAGUAGCCCCGGUCACUACGCUCAGGGCGUCGACCGAAGCGUCCUUCUCGUAUGGCUCUGAGCUCUUGACAGUCGCCGGUGUUGUGGGUGUUCAGCUUGUGGAAGGCGCAGAACGGUCGGCUGUUCUUGGAAGACUCGGGCUGAUCCCUGCCCCGCUUGGUGUCGAACUCCGCUGCGAGCACAACCGCCUCCUUGCGCUUCACGUCCUUGGCCUUGGCUUUCUUCUCCUCUGCACCCGCGGCUGGCAGCUCUAAGAGAGAGAGACGCCCCUCCUCAGCUCUUGCGCACUUGGUCGCCAGGUUGAACAACUCCUGAGAGGUGCAGAGCUCCUCGUGGAUGGCGAGCUCUUCCUUCAUCUUGACGUCACGGACGCCGUCCGAGAACGCGGAGAUGAUGGCUUCGUCCGUGACCUUGGGGAUCUUGAGGCGGGUGUUAUUGAAGCACUGGAUGUACUUCUGGAGGGUCUCUCCUGGUUGUUGCUUGAUGCGGCGUAGAUCACCCGCGGCCGGCGGGCGGUCGCGAGUGCCUUGGAAGUUGGCGACGAAGCGGUCGCGCAUUUCGUCCCAAGAGGAGAUCGAGUCAUGCUGCAGGUUCAGGAGUCAGGAGCGGGCUCCAUCCUUGAGAGCCAUGGGAAACCAGUUCGCCAUGACUUUUUCGUCGCCGUUGGCCGCUUCGAUGCUCAGCUCAUAGCACUGCAGGAACUCCGCGGGGUCGGCGGUGCCGUCGUAGCGAGGAGGCAGAUUCGGCUUGAACUUGCCUGGCCAGGCGACGCUACGCAGCUCGGGGGUGAAGGCGCGGCAGCCGGCCGUGGUUGCCAGGGCCCGCUUCGGAGGUGGAGCUUGGUCUUGGCGAGGCCCACGUGGCGCCGCCGCGGGCGGCGCGCAGGUACAGCUUCUCGCGGCCGCGGGAUUUCUUGGCAGCUUCUCUCUUCGCGCACGGGCACCGGGCGUGGUGGAUCAUGCCGCGGGGCCGCGCGCCUUGGUGCCAAGGCACCAUCUUGAGGCAGGGGUAGUGGAGGCACGCCAUGAGCCUCGUCGCCCAUGGCUGGUUGAGGGGAGGUAGAGAGAGGGACGGCGCCGGAGAGCCCCCUACAGCGCGGACGAGCUCGGCGACACGGCCGAGCCACUCCUCAUAGAGGUCGUCGACUGGGCGGUAGCGCAAGAGUUCGUUCGCCGCAAGGAGCGCGGCGCGCGUGAGAUGGAGAACCGGCAGGGGUCAGCGAUGGAGUGGCGGUGUGGCCGUCCUGCCGCACCGAAGGGUGCAGCGAGGACGCCUGCUGCUUGUUCCCCGCCGGGCCGGUGGCAGCGUUGGCGACGGGAGACGGAGAACGACGAGGUGUCCCGCCGACGGGAGCCGUCUGAGCGACGCGGGCGGUGAGGGCAGCCCGAUGCUCAGCUCGAGCACGGCGAGCGUCCGCCAUGUAGACGACGGAGCGACGGAUCGACGAACUGAUGGAAGGGAAGCUACGGCGCACCCCUACCUGGCGCGCCAAAUGUCGGAUGUGGGGUUCCGGCAAACCCUUAAGGUUCGAACACUGGGGUGCACGCGAAGUCUUUCCUUCCUACCGAUCUAUGCCCUAGCUCACUAAGAUCUCGCGGACGAACUCGCAACACAGAAAGACACGAGGUUUAUACUGGUUCGGGCCACCGUUGUGGUGUAAUACCCUACUCCAGUGUGGUGGUGGUGGAUUGCCUUUAGGGCUGAUGAUGAACAGUACAAGGGAAGAACAGCCUCCUGAGGUUGAGGUGUUCUUGUGGCUAGGGUAGGCUCUCGAUCGGGUUGGAUCAAGCUAAGAUGAGAUGCCCCUACUAUGGUGGCUAGCUCUACUUAUAUAGGCCCUGGUCCUCUUCCCAAAUAUCGAGCGGGAAGGGAGCCAACAAUGGCGGGCAAAUUUGAAGGGGGACAGCUAGUACAAGCUAUCCUGACAAAAGCGAUCUUCGCCUGCGAAAAGCUCUGGUGGUGACGCCGUCUUGGGCUCCACGAUGACCUCCGUCUUGCCGUCCUCCUGGUCUCGGUCUCGCUGCACCAAUAUAGCAACCUUUGCCUGAUGCCUCGGUACUCUUCGCCUGCGCUGGCCUCCUUAGCACCAAAGAGGAAAUAAGGAUGCUGCGCGCGCUCGCGCCCGCCUGGCGCCCGCCUGGUGUCAUUCGUCAUGGCUCACGUCACGAGAGCCUCGUGAGGUUUUGCCCCGCCUUGAUAUCUCCGCUCCUCAUGAGCCUGCCUGGCUAGGCCACUCCUGAGGAGGUCUUGCGUCGUCCGCCUCGCGAGGCUUGGACCCUCGCGAGGGUCUUGGAUGCCUUGUUGAUGAAGAUGGGCCGUACGGCCUGCUGGCUUAGCCACGCUGUGGGCAGGCAAGUCUGGGGAACCCCGUUCCCAGAACGCCGACAUACUGGAUUGAUACCUUGGUUCUCAAAAACUGAGGGAAAUACUUACGCUACUUUGCUGCAUCACCCUUUCCUCUUCAAGGGAAAACCAACGCAUGCUCAAGAGGUAGCAGGUAUUCAUAUGCAAGACAUAUAUCAAGUGCUCUCAAAUCCAUAAAAGUAUUCAAUCCGAUAAAACGAAAUAUCAAAGGGAAAACUCAAUUCAUCACAACAAGAUAGAGAGGGGAAAACACCAUAUGAUCCAACUAUAUUAACAAAGCCCGCGAUACAUCAAGUUCGUGCCAUCUCAAGAACACGAGAGAGAGAGAGAUUAAACACAUAGCUACUGGUACAAACCCUCAGCCCCAAGGGUGGACUACUCCCUCCUCGUCUUGGUGGCCGCCGGGAUGAUGAAGAUGGCCACUGGUGAUGAUUUCCCCCUCCGGCAGGGUUCCAGAACGGGGUCUAGAUUGGUUUUUCAUGGCUACAGAGGCUUGCGGCGGCGGAACUUCUGAUCUAGGGUUAUCUUCGGGGGUUAUUGAAUAUUUGGGAAUUUAUAGGGCGAAGAGGCGUGCGAGAGGCCACCGAGGUGGGUACAACCCACCAGGGUGUGCCUGGGCCCCCAGGCGCACCCAGAUGGGUUGUGCCCCCCUCGGGGCACCGUCUCGUACUUCUUUGGCCCACUGGAUGUCUUCUGGUCCAAAAAAAUCUCCAAAAAGUUUCGUUGCGUUUGGACUCCGUUUGUUAUUGGUUUUCUAGGAAGUAAAAAACAAGCAAAAAAUGUAACUGGCACUGGGCACUAUGUCAAUAGGUUAGUCCCAAAAAAUAAUAUAAAUUUGUUAUAAAAUGAUUGUAAAACAUCCAAGAAUGAUAAUAUAACAGCAUGGAACAAGCAAAAAUUAUAGAUACGUUGGAGAUGUAUCAGCAUCCCCAAGCUUAAUUCCUACUCGUCCUCGAGUAGGUAAAUGCAAAAAACAGAAUUUUUGAUGUGGAAUGUUGCCUAACAUGUUCAUCACAUAUUAUUAUUUUUUGUAGCAUGAACAUUUGGACUUUUAUAUGGUUCAAAGAAAUAGUCUAGUUUUGACAUGAAGAUUUCAAUACUCAAGCAUAUCAACAAGCAACCAUGUCUUUCAAAAUAUCAACACUAAAGAAAGUUAUCCCUAGCCUAUCAUGCUUAAUCAUUUAUCCAUUCAUGAAACACACUCGCAUAUUAGCUACAUCCAAUGCUCAAGUACGAUCAUAGUGUCCCUUAGUUGGUGCUUUAUAAGAGAAGAUGGAGACUCAAAUAAAAAUAAAAAUUGCAUAAAGUAAAUAGAUAGGCCCUUCACAGAGGCAAGUAGGGAUUUGUAGAGGUGCCAGAUCUCAAACGAAAAAGAGAAAUAAAAACAUUUUGGGUGGCAUGCUUUUCCUGUCAACGAAAAUGAUCGAGUAGUUCCCAAUACUUUCCAUACUAGAUAUAUCAUAGGCGGUUCCCAAACAGAAAAUAAAGUGUAUUCCUUUUUCCACCAUUCUUUCACAAUCCAUGGCUAGCCGUAUCCACGGGUGCCUUCCAAAUUUAUUAUUUGAAAACAUAAAGUAAAUUCAUUUUUCAUUUCGGGACUGGGCCUCCCUAUUACCUUUACCUUACUCUCGUGCAAUGACAAGUGAAUAAACACUCAUCUUGAGAAUAACACAUCUAGCAUGGAAAAAUAUCAGCCACCCCCUACAGUUUCAUGAGCGGUACGAGCACACAAAAAGGAAAUUAUUUUGAAAAUUAGAGAUGGCACAUACAAAUUUGCUUAGAACGGCACAAGAAUACCGUAUAUAGGUAGGUAUGAUGGACUCAUAUGGCAAAACUGGGUUUAAGGAUUUUGGAUGCACAAGUAGUAUUCCUACUUAGUACAAGUGGAGGCUAGCAAAAAGAUUGAGAAGCAACCAACCAAGAAACGGAAAAUCACAUAAGCGAGCAUUGAGCAUAACUAACACCGAAUAAUGCACCACAAGUAGGAUGUAAUUUCAUUGCAUAACUAUUGACUUACGUGCUUGCAUAGGGAAUCACAAACCUUAACACCAAUAUUCUUACUAAAGCACAAUUACUCAUCAACAUGACUCGCAUAUCACUAUCAUCAUAUCUCAAAACUAUUACGAAGAAUCAAGUUUAUUUUGUCCAAUGAUCUUCAUGAAAGUUUUUAUUAUAUCCCUCUUGAAUAUCUAUCACUUUGGGACUAGUUUCAUAUGUUGCAAUUGCUUUUGACAAGCUCAAACAGAUUUAAGUGAAGAACACGAGCAUACAAAAUCUCAUGUCUCAAAAUAAUAUAAGUGAAGCAUGAGAGAAUUUCUUCAAAAAUUUACUAACUCUCAAAUAAAUCUAAGUGAAGCAUGAGAUCCUUUAUUCAAAAAUAUUAAAUCACACCGUGCUCAAAAAGAUAUAAGUGAAGCACUAGAGCAAAUGACCAACUACUCCCAAAAGAUAUAAGUGAAGUCAAGCGAGUAGUUAAGUGAAUGGGUAGCUAUGUGAGGACUCUCUCUUAUUUAAAAACUUUCAGAUCUAAAUAUUUUAUUAAAACAACAAGCAAAACAAAAUAAAAUGAAAUUCCAAGAAUAGCACAACUCAUGCGAACAAGCAAAAACUUAGGUUCAACCGAUACUAACCGAUAAUUGUUGAUGAAGAAAGGUGGGAUGCCUACCGGGGAAUCCCCAAGCUUAGAUGCUUGAGACUUGUUGAAAUAUUAAUUUGGGAUGCCUUGGUCAUCCCCAAGCUUGAGCUCUUGUGUCUUCUUCAUUCCUCUCAUAUCACGGUUUCCCUAAUUCUUAAAAACUUCAUCCACACAAAACUCAACAAGAACUCGUGAGAUAAGUUAGUAUAAAUCAAUGCAACACCUUAUCAUUCUCUACUGUAGCAAAUCACUAAAAUUAUUAUUCAACAUUGUAUACUAAAUGCCUCUGCAUAUUUAAUACUCAUAUCCUCAAAUAGAACCAUUAAACAAGCAAACAAUGCAAACAUAACAACAAUCUGCCAAAACAGGACAGUCUGUAAUGGAUCAAGAAGUAUCCAUACUUAUUUAACUCAAAAAAUUCUGAAAAUUUACCACACUGUAGAAAAUUUAUAAUAGCUUAUUUUGCGAAAAAUUCAACAUUUUAUCACAUUCUGACUUUCUCGGGAAUUUUUGCAACAGCGACAAACUUUCUGUUUUGAAACAGCAACUCAUAUACUUGCAAAAUAAGCAUGGUAAGCUAUCCUUGCCACUUUUAUUGAAAUAAAAGAUACAAAACAUUAUUCUAAAUAAACGCAAGCAAAUCCUGGCAAAAUAAAAUGAUGCUCCAAGCAAAACACAUAUCAUGUGACGAAUGAAAAUAUAGCUCCAAGUGAGGUUACCGAUAAUGUUGAAGACGAAAGAGGGGAUGCCUUCCGGGGCAUCCCCAAGAUUAGUUGCUUGGAUAUUCCUUGAAUAUUACCUUGAGGGUGCCUUGGGAAUGCCCAAUCUAAGGGUCUUGUCACUCCUUAUUCUCCUCAUAUCGAUAUCUCACCCAAAACUUGAAAACUUCAAUCACUCAAAACUUAACGGAACUUCGUGAGAUAGUUAGUAUGAUAAAGACAAAUCAUUCACUUCGGUACUGUUAAAAACAAGAUUCAUAAUUGUAUUCACACAAUGCCUAUUGUACCUCAUCAUUUCCACAAUUUAUAUUGAGCAAUAUAAGCCAUAGAAACUAGAAAACAAGCAAACUAUGCAUUGAAAACAGAAUCUGUCAAAAACAGAACAGUCUGUAGUAAUCUGUACUCCAACCAUACUUCUGCUACUCCACAAAUUCUGAAAAAUUAGGAAAACCUAGGUAGUUUUUAUAUCUAUCACCUGUAAAAAAAUUAGAUCAAAAUCACGUUCCAGUGAAUUUUAGAAAUUCCUGGACUGGGCCCAAAGUUUCUGUUUUUGCAUAGAAUCAAGUCAACUAUCAUCCACACUAUCCCAAAGGCUUUACUUGGCACUUUAUUGAAAAAAACUAUAAAAUAUGAUUAAUAAAGUAUCUUAAUCAUAUGAACACACAAAAACAGUAGGUAAAAGUGUUGGGUUGUCUCCCAACAAGCGCUUUUCCUAAUGCCUUUUUAGCUAGGCAUGAAGAUUUCAAUGAUGCUCACGUAAAAGAUAAGAAUUGAAACACAAAGAGAGCAUUAUGAAGCAUAUGGCAAGCACAUUUAAGUCUAACCCACUUCCUAUGCAUAGGGAUUUUGUGAGCAAAUAAUUUAUGGGAGCAAUAAUCAACUAGCAUAGGAAGGCAAAACAAGCAUAACUUCAAAACCUUCAACACAUAGAGAGGAAACUUGAUAUUACUGAGAUAUGUAAAAGUGUAUGCCCCUCUCUCAUAAUAAUUUUUAGUAGGAUCAUGAAUGAAUUCCACAAUAUAGCUAUCACAUAAAGCAUUCUUUUCAUGAUCCACAUGCAUAAAUUUUUUACUAUAUUCUCAUGAAUAGUGGGAGCAAACCCAACAAAACAACUAUCAUGAGAUUGAAAAUUAAAUCAUCAUGACAAGUUUCAUGGAUAUCAUUAUUUUUUAUAACAUACAUGUCAUCACAAUAAUCAUCAUAUAUAGGAACUUUGUUGUCAUAAUCAAUUGAAACCUCCUCCAAAAUAGUGGAGUCAUCAUUAAAUAAAGUCAUGACCUCUCCAAAUCCACUUUCAUCAAUAUAAUCAUCAUAAAUAGGAGGCAUGCAAUCAUCAUAAUAAAUUUUCUCAUCAAAAUUUGUGGGACUAAAAAUAUCAUCUUCAUCAAAUAUAGCAUCCCCAAGCUUAUGGCUUUGCAUAUCGUUAGCAUCAUGGAUAUUUAAUGAGAUUUUUUGUCAAACAUUUUAUAGAAUUCUUCCUCUAUCAAUUGAGCACAGUUUUCCUUUCCAUCAUUUUCACGAAAGACGUUAUAAAGAUGAACAAUAUGAUGCAACCUCAAUUCCAAUUUUUGUAGUUUUUUAUAAACCAAACUAGUGAUAACAAGAAACUAAAAGAUUCAAUUGCAAGAUCUAAAGAUAUACCUUCAAGCACUCACCUCCCCGGCAACAGCGCCAGAAAAGAGCUUGAUGUCUACUACACAACUUAUUCUUGUAGACUCGUGUUGGGCCUCCAAGCGCAGAGUUUUGUAGGACAGUAGCAAAUUUCCUCAAGUGGAUGACCUAAGGUUUAUCAAUCCAUGGGAGGCAUAGGAUGAAGAUGCUCUUUCUCAAACAACCCUGCAACCAAAUAAUAAAAAGUCUCUUGUAUCCCCAACACACAAAAUACAAUGGUAAAUUGUAUAGGUGCACUAGUUCGUCGAAGAGAUGGUGAUACAAGUGUAGUAAUGAAGGUAGAUAUUGAUUUUUGUAAUAGGAACAAUAAAAAAUAGCAAGGUGGCAAUUUAUAAAACGGAGCACAAACGGUAUUGAGAUGCUUGAAAAUGAGGCCUAGGCUCCGUACAUUCGCUAGUGCAAUCUCUCAACAAUGCUAAUCUAAUUGGAUCAUAUAACUAACCAUACCUCAACGGGCGAUGAAGAAUCACUCCAAAGUUCUUAUCUAGUGGAGAACAUAAGAAGAAAUUGUUUGUAGGGUACGAAACCACCUUAAAGUUAUUCUUUCCGUUCGAUCUAUUCAAGAGUUCGUACUAAAAUAAUGCAAGGUUAUUCUUUCCGUUCAAUCUAUCCAAGAGUUCGUACUAAAUAACACCAUAUGAUACGCAUCAACCAACUCUAAUGUCACCUAGAUACUAUAAUGUCACCACAAGUAUCCGUGAGUUAAUUAUACGAUACGCAUCAAACAAUUUCAGAUUCAUAAUACUCGAUCCAAAACAAAGAACCACAAAGAGUGCCCCAAGAUUUCUACCGGAGAAACAAGGACGAAAACGUGCAUCAACCCCUAUGCAUAGAUUACCCCAAUGUCACCUCGGGAAUCCACGAGUUGAGUGUCAAAAUAUAUAUCAAGUGAAUCAAUAUAACACCCCCAUUGUCACCACGGGUAUUCAUAUGCAAGACAUAUAUCAAGUGCUCUCAAAUCCAUAAAAAUAUUCAAUCCGAUAAAACGAAAUCUAAAAGGGAAAACUCAAUUCAUCACAACAAGAUAGAGAGGGGAAAACACCAUAUGAUCCAACUAUAUUAACAAAGCCCGCGAUACAUCAAGAUCAUGCCAUCUCAAGAAAACGAGAGAGAGAGAGAUUAAACACAUGGCUACUACUACAAACCCUCAGCCCUGAGGGUGGACUACUCCCUCCCCAUCAUGGUGGCCGCCGGGAUGAUGAAGAUGGCCACCCGGGAUGAUUUCCCCAUCCGACAGGGUCCCGGAACGGGGUCUAGAUUGGUUUUUUGUGGCUACAGAGGCUUGCGGCGACGGAAAUUCUGAUCUAGGGUUAUCUUCGGGGGUUUUGGAAUAUUUGGGAAUUUAUAGGGCGAAGAGGCGGUGCUGGAGGCCACCCAUGUGGGCACAACCCACCAGGGCGUGCCUGGGCCCCCAGGCGCGCCCAGGUGGGUUGUGCCCCCCUCGGGGCACCCGUCUGGUACUUCUUUGGCCCACUGGAUGUCUUCUGGUCCAAAAAAUCUCCAAAAAGUUUCACUGCGUUUGGACUCCAUUUGGUAUUGGUUUUCUGGAAGUAAAAAACAAGCAAAAAAUAGCAACUGGCACUGGGGGCUAUGUCAAUAGGUUAGUCUCAAAAAAUGAUAUAAAGUUGCUAUAACAUGAUUUAAAACAUCCAAGAAUGAUAAUAUAACAGCAUGGAACAAGCAAAAAUUAUAGAUACGUUGGAGCCGUAUCAAUUACCGAGUUCAGAUCCCGCAUGGGAAUCUUCGAAAUGCUAUUGGGAAGACGAAAGUACGAUAUCAGAAAGGUUCCCAGACGACAAUUGAGAAGGUCAGCGAUACUGGCCUCCCCUGGUCAUAGUAGCUUGUCACUAACACCUCUUUGCAAAAUUAAUCGCUAAAUGAGAGGUAGAGGUAUCCUUUUACAUUUCUUGCUCUUCAUGUUAAUCUAGGGGCGUGCUUGGUAGCUCGCAUAGAGGCCAACCAGUCCGGCACGGGACAAAAAUGGGUUGUUUGGUAGUCUGCGUUCACUAUUUGGCCCGCAUUGCACGAACACUAAAGCACCUCUCAGCCAGGCCCGCUGGGAACGCUCAAAUCAGCAGUUUUCAGUGAGCCAGGCUGAGGUGAGCCACAUCGAGCGCACUUGGUGGGCCCCCUUGUUGGAAAUAUGCCCAAGAGGUAAUAAUAUUAUAUUAUUAUAUAUCCAUUUUCCUAAUUAAAGUUUAUAUUCUAUGGUAUAACUGCUAGAUCCUGAAAUAUGUGAUUCAGUGGAAAACUCAUAUGCACGUGCGGAAUGAUAAACGGUAAAGAUUAGGUUCCUAGUCUUGCCUCUAAGACUAGCUCAAGUGUUGUUGGUGAUCAUGUUUUUCAAAUCUUAGGAUAUUGUUAAGCGUAACGAUAGUCCUAAAACAACAUUAAGAGUGAAGUUAGAAAAAUGGUCAUAUUGAAUCAACCCAAACUUGUUUGUUAUAAUUUGAGAUAAUAUCGUCUGAAAUCAAUUGUUAAACACGGAUUGUUAACAUGUGGUUUAGUUUCUUAGACCAUGAGAGUAUCGUAGUCACUUCUUACCGUACAGUGAACUUUGGGGUUGCUCAAACAUCAUCAGUAACAUGGUAAUCACAACGACAACUUACAGGUUCAUCGAAAAGUUGAGUAGGUACUAGAUAGCUCAAGAGUGGAUUGCUCCUUCGACGAUGGACAUAUAUUUUUAGGGCCCUCUCGGUGUAUUCUUAAGUAAAAGCAAUAAAUGAGAGAAAGAGGAAAAUAGACUAUUCUUAUAGCCAACCUUAUAGCUAACCCUAUUAUAUGGGUAAUUAAUAAUGCCGGCUCUUGAUGUCGAUCAUAACAAUUUAUAUGGCCAGCUGCCGUAAAACCCCACUUUGGUGCACAUGUUUCAUUGUGCAAUAUACUUUGAAUAGUGCCAAAAUGGCAUUUCGAAGUGUCAAAAUAUUCCCAAAAAUAUGGAAGUUCACUACACACAUGCAAAUUUGUGUUAUAAAAAAAACCAUGUGAGCUACACAAAAAGGGCAAAAAACGUGAUUUUGAAACAAUAAAGAGUGCAUGUACUAUUCACUAUUCAGAAAUCACCAUGUUGUCAUUUUUGUAUAGCUCACAUAUUUAGCUAUUUCAUCACUAAACUUUACAUGUAGAAUACGGAUGCAUAUGAACAUAUACAAUUUUUUUAAAAAUAGACUGUGAUAAGAUAUUCAAAAUAAAAUGCUUCAAUGCACCUCGGCUCCAAAAGCUCACUCUGUAGUUGUCGAUUAUUAGCCUUGAUCUGAAAAAAUGAGACCAACCAGGAUAAUCCAUGUUAGUGUUUUCUAAUAAAAUAAACUCCAUGAGCGCCACGCCUUAGAGCCUCUAAUGGCUAAUUUUUUUAAAUAAUACAUUUUUUAUUAAAUUACAGAAAUAAUACGCCGAAAAUAUUAUUUUCAAAAAUAAUACACCGUCGGCCCGCUGCAGGCCGACUGGACCUAAUCGGCCCACAGCAGGCCGAUCGGCUACCAGCAGGCCGACUGCAGGCCCGGCUGGCACGCGGCGGCCUCUGGUUGGUCGGGCCACGUCGCGAGGGGGAGGGAUUGGGCUGUCGGCGUGGGUGCGCCCCUGUCGGCCUACCGCGGGCCGAUCGGCCAGCUGCUGGCCGACAGGGUGCUGCCACCUCGCGCAGCUGGCCGGCCCGUGCCUUAUCCUCCCCUUCCUCCCUUCUUCUUCUCCCCUUCCUCCCUUCUUCUUCAGUUCUUUUGUGUUCUUACCUUCUCCUCUCUCUACACAAAAAUGCCACCAAUUUAUACACCUAAAUGAGCAAGUUUUUCGCAAUUUUGGCACCGUGAAUGGAUUCAACUCAGUUAGGGCAGCCAAAAGAGGUCUCGAUCUACUGAUGGGGUAGCUCGUGGUGGUCGUGGUGAGCAUUUUGGUGGAGGUGGUGGUGGUGAAGUUGGGGCAGUGUGGUGGUGGUGAAGUUGGGGCAGUGUGGUGGAGGUGAAGCUGUUGUUCGUCGUUCUUCGUUGGAGGCGGAGCACCGGCAGUUUGGUGGCCGCCGUUCGUCAUUCUUCGUUCGCACGCACGCUUCAAGGGUAUAUUUCAGCCCACAUUUUAUUUUUCGUAGGUGCUCCGGUAGUAUUUGUUAAUAUGUUUCGAUGUGAAAUAAAUUAGGUGUGCGAUUAUUGUUAUUUGCCCCGGUAGUAUACGUAAAUAUAUUUAGAUGUCAACUAAUUAGUUGUGUAAAAAUGUGUAGUUGCUCCGGUAAUAAUCCGUACUAUAUGUGGAUGUCAAGUAUUUAGGAGUGUAAGUAUUUGUAGUAGUUCCGAAAAAAGGUCCGUAAUAUAGGCAGUCCAGUCAAAUAUAUUAAUCUGUCAAUAUUUGUAGUUGCUACGGCAAAUAUUCGUAAUAUACUUGUAGGUGUGUGAAUUGUAUUGGUUGCUCCGUUAAUAUUCUGUAAUAUAUAGCUAGGUAAUAUAUAGACAUGUCUAAUAUUUGUUAGUGGGGAUAUUAAGUUGUUGCUUAAUACUUGUAUUUCGUUGUUGAAAAAAAAAUAGGUGAGUCGAGAUGUCCGAUGUAGUGAAGUUCAGAUUUUACUAUGGUCCUGGUACUGUCCAAACAACUGAGUUGGGAGCAGAUCUGAGUGAAUUUACUCACAUAGAGGUGGCAAUGAGUGCACCACAAACAUGGUCUGUCAGUCAGUUGAAAGAAUGGAUUGCGGCAAGUUUAGGUCUUGAUACUGAAACACACACCGUCGGUGUUCAUGCAUUGUGGACACGGUCAAGUUCAAAAAUUUACUUUUAUUUGAGGCCAAUAGAGGGAGACUCCGAUUGGGUGCGGUGGUUACAAGGUUGUGAACGAAGGGGAUGCAAUCCUGUUGCUUUAGUGCUUCCCGUCGUGAAGGAGGUCACUGCACAUGAAGGCGAGGGUGGCUACGAAGGACAGAGCAGUCAGGUAGAAGGAGGAAAUGCUUAUGGUUACGAACAAGGACAGAGCAGUCAGGUAGAAGGAGGAAAUGCUUAUGGUUAUGAACCAGGGCAGAGUAGUCAGGUAGAAGGAGGAAAUGCCGAUGGUGAUUACAAUGGCGAGGUGGACGCUGANNNNNNNNNNNNNNNNNNNNNNNNNNNNNNUGACAAUGGUAUGCAAGAACGCAGAUUGUCCCGCCAGGGUGCACGGCUUUCUCCCUAAGUAUGGCACAAGUUGGGUGAUAAGUGACUUAGUUAAUCACACUUGUCUUAUUCCCUGCAUCCCUCAAGAUCAUGCCAACCUUUCAUCCACGCUUAUUGCUCGAUUGUUUUACGAUGAGAUAGUGCAGGGCAAAGCUAUGGAAGUGAAGGCAGUCCAGACAAAAGUCUUCGCCAGGUUCAAGUACAGAAUUUCUUAUGGCAAGGCUUGGAGGGCUAAGCAUGCGGCGCUUGAGAGGAGAUUUGGUUCUUAUUUUGAUGCAUAUGACUCUGUUGUCCACCUCCUCCACACCCUGCAGCAGCGGAAUCCAGGCACCUAUAUCGAUAUCCAAGACAUGUUCAUGGCAGAGUUCCCAACUGUGAGGGUGUUGCAUCGUCUCUUCUUCUCUUUCGGUGUAUGCAUCGAAGCUUUCAGGCAUUGCCGACCGGUGAUAUGUGCUGACGGUACUUUUCUCACAGGCAAGUACAAGGGUCAGAUCCUGACAGCCAUAGGUCAAGACGGCCAAAAUCAAGUCGUCCCACUGGCAUUUGCUUUUGUGGAGAGUGAGAACAUUGAAAGUUGGACAUGGUUCUUCAGGCAGUUGAAAAUAUCAGUUGUGAAGGAGAAGCCCAAUGUGUGCAUCCUUCAUGACAGGCAUGCAGGUAUACUCAGUGCGAUAAGGACACUAACAAACCCGGGCCCCGAGGAACAAGUUCCAUGGCAGGACUUGCAGAGCCGUUGGUGCAUGCGCCAUCUGGGGGCUAAUUUCUUCUCGCAGUUUAGAAAUAAGAACCUGAUGAAUCUGUUCAAAAAACUCUGCAAGCAGAACCAGUUAUGGAAGUACAAUUUGAUACGCGACAGACUUAAUGUGUGCACGCAGAGACACGUGAGGGACAGGAAAGCUGCAAGAGAUGCAGCGGUGAGGGCACAUGUUGAAGCAGUAGCUGCACAGUUGGCAACAGGAACAGCGGCCGUGGAGGAGGAGCCUGUUGGGCUAUGUGACCUGCCAGGCUUUGACCCACCUGGUACUAGGAGAAGGCUCGGGAGGUCGAUUAAAACCUUCGAGCAGUGGAUAGAGCAUGAGCCUCUGGAGAGGUGGUCUUUGCUACAUGACACAUAUGGAGCAAGGUACGGUGUCAUGACAACGAACCUCGCGGAAACAUACAACUUUGUCCUCAGAGGAAACCGGGCAUUGCCACUUACAGCCAUCGUUGAGGGUAUUUUCUAUGGCACCGUCAAGUAUUUCAGAGACAGACGUCAAAUAGCAGAGCAGCAUAUCUUGAACAACCCAAAUACACGGUACUGUGAAAGAGUCACGAAGUACAUGGACAAGAAGAUGCAAAAAGCUAGGUCACACACUGUAGUCGCCAUCGGUAAUCAAGAAAGAAGGUUUGAGGUCCGCUUAGCCAACAACAAAUUCGGAUGUGCAAAUGAGUUGAGGACGCAUGAGGUGAAAAUUGGCAAUGAAGCCUGGCCAACGUGUGAGUGCACAUGCAAUAAACCGAAAUUGCUUCACCUACCUUGCUGCUUGCGGGCAGCUUGGAAUGGACGCAAUAUCGUUUGUGUCCCCAUAUUUUCUGAAAGAGUCUGUCCUCAAUACCUGGACAGGUGAGCUGAUGGGUUUUCGAUCAAUGGGUAAUUUCAACAGCAUCAACCCCGCCGAAAGGCGUUACAUUCCAAACCCAGAGCAUAUGCGUACAAGUAGAGGCAGACGGCAGUGUCAGCGCAUCCGAAAUGAUAUGGAUGAAUCUGAAGCAGGAGGUCCGACUAGGCAAUGCAUUCUAUGCAAUGAAUUUGGCCAUAGGGACACUAAUUGUCCCACUUUCGUCACUGGGCGUGGACGAGGCAACCAGGGAAGAAGAGGAGGUAGAGGCAGUAGAGGAGUAAGGGCGAGAGGAAGAAGCUAAGCUAGUAGUAGUAUGUUCUGAAUUUGUAUUAAGUGUGGUGUGGCACUAUGUUCUGAAUUUGUAUUAAGUGUGGUGUGGCACUAUGUUCUGAAUUUGUAUUAAGUGUGGCACUAUGUUCUGAAUUUUUAUUAAGUGUGGCACUAUGUUCUGAAUUUGUAUUAAGUGUGGCACUAUGUUCUGAAUUUUUAUUAAGUGUGGCACUAUGUUCUGAAUUUGUAAUAAGUGUGACACUAUGUUCUGAAUUUUUAUUAAGUGUGACACUAUGUUCUGAAUUUUGUAUGUGCAGGAAUGUCGGGAUUGUGGUUGCUGAAUGGGGACAUUGAUAGGGGUCAUCGUGCUGCGAUAUGGUAUGAGCGCAAGCUUGAGCCUCUGGUCACUCGCACUCCUAAGGAAAACUGGAAGAUACACUCAGGAUGGCUUCAGCGGUACGUGCUUUAUUAAUUUGCACACUGACAUGCAUAUUAAUGGUUGAAAUGGGAGACACUAACUGAGAAGUUCUCUGAUGAAGGUUGAAAUGGGCCGGCCUUUUACCUUUCGCGCGUCUGGUUGAGUCUAUCCCGGGUGAGAAACGCCUCGCCAUCGAUGGGUCUUUGCUGAGCUGCUUAGUGGACCGUUGGAGGCCAGAGACCCACACGUUUCACUUCAGAUGGGGAGAGAUGGCUCCUACUCUAGAGGAUGUGUCACUUUUGCUCGGACUACCGUUGGCAGGUCAUGCCGUAGGACCGUUGGACGCACCGGCUGGUUGGGAGCGAACUCUUACACAACGUUUUCAUGGUGUUUUUCCGGAUGCUCCGGAUCCGGUAUGGGAGCAUCACGGACCUAAGUAUGAGCGGUUGCUAAAUUUCCGGGUAAUUUCCCCUACCUAUUAUCUUCAAGUUAUCGUGCAUACAGUUUUACAGAAAAUAAUUGCGGCUUACUAAAACUUUCUCUUCGCUUAAUGCAGAUCCAGAACUUCCGGGCGCCGUUGACUGCGGAACAGAUCACUCGGAGCCUGGAGGCCUACUUACUGUGGCUUUUCGGCAAGGUGAUGUUCACGGAGAACCAUGUCACCACUAUUAGCGCCCUCUACAUCCCUAUGGCACUCGAGAUAGCGAGCGCUCAGACGGCGGAUCAGAUCAGACAGAGGAGUUGGGGUUCGGCGGUCUUAGCGGCUACAUACCGAGGUAUGUGCAACGGUUGCCAGCUUACAUCGAGAAAGCCAGCCCUUCUUGGAUGCCCUCUAUUCCUACAGCUAUGGUCGUGGGAGAGGUUCUCUAUAGGGCGACUAGAUGUACGUGUUCAUGAGCCUAUAGAUGCCAUGUUUGAUGUUGACGGCAUCGACAUGCCUACUUUCGGUCUGUGUUGGACUCGUCGCGAGGUAUGCACCGUGUUGUAGUUUAAUGCAACUUUUUUCUGCACAAGAGAUAGUUCAAUGCUAGCGGCUACUAACUUUUCUUCUCUGCAGAGACGCUUUGCUAGUGAUCAGACCAGGAAGGCAUACACAGCAUUGAACGAGCAGUUCGAUGCGUACACCAGGGUCAUCUGGCAGCCCUACACGGAAGCAGCCAUACAAGCAAGAUACCCUGCUGGUAUGUCUGUGCUAUGCACAAGGGACCGAGAUUACUGGAUGACAAAAUCUAAGAUCAUCUUCGAUGUCUUCGUCGAGGAGAUGGCACAACAGAGGGUUAUGAGGCAAUUUGGUCUUCUGCAGUUGGAGCUACCUCCCCCUAUAGAGAACCCGGUGCCAGCACACAUCCACAGGUAUUAACCAGUUUUUCAAUGUUGCAUUAUCUUUCAUAGUACUCCAUUCGAAGCUUUAGGUAAUUGUUGAACACACACCACAAUUUUAGGACGACAAGGAAGGGCAUGACCAGGACAACUGCUGACUGGCUAGUUAGACUACAGCCGUAUGUUAUAGAAUGGGAGACAGCAAACACAAAUCUAUGGCACGAGAAUCACAAUUUCGAUCUCGAUGAAUUCAAUCUCUAUUUGCGGCGCUACAUGACCGGAACACGGUUACGCAUUAUUGAGUACUCCCACCCAGAGGAGAUACCGGAUCCUACUCCGUCGGAUAUGUACCCGAGCUAUGAUACUUCGGGCUCUAGGCAGUACGCGGUAAGAUAUAUUUUCUUUACGUAAUGUUGUCACAUACUUUGACGUGCAAGAGACAGACAUUAUUAAUCGUCAUGGAAAUUUGCAGGCUACCUUGACACGCGAACUCUACGACGACGUGACCACCUUUGGACGAUCACUAUCGUCUGGACCUCUUCUUCAUCAUCGUCCAGUGGUACAGCCCUUCUUGGAAAGAAUUCAGAAUAAGAUACGGACUGUGUACGAGGCUAUCACGUGCACCCGGAGAACCGAUGUUGUUCAGCACCAGCAGGAGCAGCCGCGUCACUCCAUGCAUCGACAUCAACCACGUCCACGUCUAGCACAUCAGCCGACAACCAGGCCACUACGUGGCACCCGCAGCACUAUGGUCCCACGUCGAGCUUCGUGUUUUCUCCACAGCCACAGCAACACGGUCCCUCGUCGAGCUUCGUGUUAUCUCCACAGCCACAGCAGCACGGUCCCUCGUCCAGUUUCGUGUUUGAGCCAGAGCAGACGUCACAACCAGCAGGUAUGUGUCUUCAUAUUUAUUGUUUUCAAUAUUAAUUGACGCAACCUCAUUCUUCAUGAUGAAACGUUCCAUCGCGUAGGAGCCUAUGGAUAUCAGGCGUCUAUGUCGGCAUCACAUGAUACGUGGGGGAGUGAUCAACAUCCCGAGGAGAACAUACAGGCUCAGAUGUCGCAGCACACCCAGUGGAUGAACAUGUUUUCGACUCCUCCACCAGGCCCCACACAGGAUACACAACAUGACCAGGGAGAGUCUGAGAUUCCUCCUCGUCACAUUAGGGCACCCGACAGGUUGGGAUGGUCGCCGCUUCCAGAUCCACCUCCCCGCCAGGCCAGACGUCGUCACUGACGCUUCUAUCUAUCAGUAAAGACAUUACCAUCUAUUUAUGUGUGAGACUUAUGUCUAUUCUAUGUAUGAGUCAUUUAUAUUCUAUGUAUGAGACAAAUGACUAUGUACUUAUGUACGAGACAUAUGCCUACUCUAUUUUAGUACUCUGUUAUCCGAACUACAAGAUCAUAUUUAGAUAGAACAUAAUAUUCAUACAACGAGACAUUACAAACAACUAGAUAGAAGUACAUCUAAAUUAAAUGGUACGUAACUGAACUCACAACAUACAGCAUAAAAACUACAUGAAGUCAUCAUCGUCAUCCUCGAUCGAUGCAGAACUCUUGCCCUUCGACGAUGAAGAACUCUUGCCCUUCGACGAUGCAGAAACCUUGCCCUUCGAUGAUGAAGAACCCUUUCCCGCCAUAUGUUCGCGCCAACUAUUUCCCGCCACCCGUUUCCCGCCACCCGUUUCCCGCCACCCGUUUCCCGCCACCCGUUUCCCGCCAACCAUUUCCCGCCAACCCUUUCCUGCCAUACCACAGUCGUUCUUUCCCGCCAUUUUCUCCUCUCUACCUAUAAAACCCCCUUCAGACGGAGGUGGAUAAGCAUUGCAAUGUGGUGGUGGUGAAGUUGGGGCAGUGUGCUAGAGGUGAAGCUAUUGUUCGUCGUUCUUCGUUGGACUCGGAGCACCGGCAGUUUGGUGGCCGCCGUUCGUCGUUCUUCGUUCGCACGCACGCUUCAAAGGUAUAUUUCAGCCCACAUUUUAUUUUUCGUAGGUGCUCCGGUAGUAUGGCUAAGGGGUAGGUUAGGUACUCAAUGCGAUUUGUGUGUUGCAGAUGGCUAAGGGUACUCAAUGGGUGCUUAGCCCUAUUGUUCAUGUCCAAGGCUUUUCUCCAAGUGUUGUGCAAGUUAGUGAAGUGGACCUCACUUUUGAUUGGUUGAAGACUAAAUUCAUGUUGAAGCAAGGGUUGAAGGAAGACGAUUUUGUGUACUACGUCAGCAGGAAGCAGUCAGAUGGCCCUGGGGAAAGAAAAUUGAUUGACAUAACUGAUGAUGGCAAGAUUCAAGAAAUGUUGAGCGAAUGGGAAUGGAAAAGGGUUGUUGAGUUGCAUUGCUACAGGAAACCGAGUUAUAUGUGAUGAAUUUGUCAUUCGAGAUCCGCCUCUCCGCCAGGCCAGACGUCGUCACUGACGCUUCUAUCUAUCAGUAGAGACAUUACCAUCUAUUUCUGUGUGAGACUUAUGUCUAUUCUAUGUAUGAGACAAAUGACUAUGUUCUUAUGUACGAGACAUAUGCCUACUCUAUUUUAGUACUCUGUUAUCCGAACUACAAGAUCAUAUUUAGAUAGAACAUAAUAUUCAUACAACGAGACAUUACAAACAACUAGAUAGAAGUACAUCUAAAUUAAAUGGUACGUAACUGAACUCACAACAUACAGCAUAAAAACUACAUGAAGUCAUCAUCGUCAUCCUCGAUCGAUGCAGAACUCUUGCCCUUCGACGAUGAAGAACUCUUGCCCUUCGACGAUGCAGAAACCUUGCCCUUCGACGACGCAGAACCCGGAAGCGGCGGCAUGAAGAUAUCAACUUCGUCCUCGCUCUCCUCAGUCCAUAAACAUGGAUUAUUUGCUGCAAUCCUUCUGAAAGUUUCACUCUUCGGCACCACUACCUUCUUCCACCUGUCAUGCAACCGAAGAAGUUCUUUACAUACCUCCUCAUAGGUCCUUUCAGGCCACCCAGACCUACGUAAUUGGUGAGCCAACUCAUUCAUUAUGGUGUCACUACCGGUGAGUUCGUCCCAUGGAACUAUCCUAUUAUCCAUCCUGAAAUCGGUAGCUAGCCUCAGAAGAGUCCUGCUCAUCCCAGGGUGAAAACUACGAUCGAAAGGAUAAUGGGACAUCUCAACUACACUACACUGCAAUGCUUAUCCACCUCCGUCUGAAGGGGGUUUUAUAGGUAGAGAGGAGAAAAUGGCGGGAAAGAACGACUGCGGUAUGGCGGGAAAGGGUUGGCGGGAAAUGGGUGGUGGGAAACGGGUGGCGGGAAAUAGUUGGCGCGAACAUAUGGCGGGAAAGAACGACUGCGGUAUGGCGGGAAAGGGUUGGCGGGAAAUGGGUGGUGGGAAACAGGUGGCGGGAAAUAGUUGGCGCGAACAUAUGGCGGGAAAGGGUUGUGCGGAAUACGUCAUAGUUUUACAAAAAAAACCAGGAAUCAUUCGGAAAAAAAUGGUGGCAUGCACCAGUCGGCCCACAGCAGGCCAACUGAGCCUAGUCGGCCCGCUGCAGGCCUAUCGGCCAACUGCAAGCCGACUGGACCCUGUCGGCCAACUGCAGGCCGACUGGACUUGAUCUGGUGGCCGACAGCCCAAUCGGCCAGCAGCAAGCAGAUGGGCCUCCAGUCGGCCUGCUGUGGGCCGAUUAGGUCCAGUCGGCCUGCAGUGGACCGACGGUGUAUUAUUUUUUAAAAUAAUAUUUUCGGCGUAAUAUUUCUGUAAUUUAAUAUAAAAAUAUAUAUUAUUUAAAAAAAAUUGGCCCUCUAAUGUGGGUGUCUUGGCUGCGAACUCAUGCGCCAAACCAACGAAGUGACGCCCCGUUCUCCUAUUAGCCUUGAUCUAAUCAUGCACGACCGAGAAGCACAAAAUCCCGACAAAUUGCUAUCCAUGGGUCAUGUACCCUUAAUAAUCUGGAUAGUGAUCUCCAUAAACCGAUACCAGAAAACAAGAAAUCAUACGAUUGAUUACACAUCGUAGGUAUAUCUUCGCGCCUGGAAAACUUCCACGCUUCCUCCAAACGGAACACACGAACGGGAACGCCCUUUAUAUUACCACGUUUUGCGCGUUGCUAAAUAUGUUGCAUCGCACAGUUGCUAGCUGGCCUAAUUAAUACAGUCGACCAGGGUGCUUGUACCGCACGAAUCACUCACCAUCGGCAUCCAUAUAUUUGGCGUUGAGAUGACUGGAAUCUGAGAAUUAAAGCUGUCCCUUUUUCCCUUCAAAACAUAUCCAGACGUUCGUAUACACACAAAAUGGAGAGUUGGUGGUUGGCUCUUGUACCGUUCGUAUACACACAAAAUGUAGUAGAGUGGUAGUUGGCUCUUGUGCCCCCAGGUGUUGUCCCUGACCUUUUUUUAAACGAAAAUUAAUAAUGCCCACAAACAGGCAUAGCAAUCACAAGGUUUAAGGUAGGAACGGAAUUGAUCUGUAUAACAGUGCUCAGGUAGGAAUUACACGGCCAAGGCCAACACAGAGCAUAAGGAUAACAAAGAACUAUCGGUAACGAAAUCGUCCAUGAAAAGAGGCCACCCAAGUGAAGGUCUCAUGCCGGUUCCUGCACAGCUAUGAAGCGUCCCUGGCUGCUAUCCAGCAACGCCCGGACGGGGACCACGUGAAGGGCAAGAUGGUGCUUGUGCCCGCUUCGAGGGCGGCACCGGCAAUGCAUCAGGACACCGCGCCAUCACCGGACAGCAAGUGGCAAGCCCCGGCACCUGGGCGGGUUAAACUGAACGUCGAUGGGUCCUACUGUCCCGCUUCUAGUGGUGCGGGGGCAGGCAUGAUCUUGAGAGAUAGCAAUGGAACGAUCAUUUUUGCGGCGUGCAGAAACCUACUUUCUUGUGCAGACCCUUUGCAAGCAGAGUUGGCGGCUUGUCUGGAGGGCCUCAACUUUGCCAUGCAAUGGUCACCAUUGCCGGUGGACGUGGAGAUGGAUUGCCUGGUCGCCGUCCAGGCUAUCCAGUCGACGACAGACGACAAAUCAAAACAUGCGAUGAUGAUUAUUGAAGUUAAGCGACUUCUUGGUGAAAGGAGCACGAUUGCUCAUAUUAGUAGGAGCCAAAAUUGUGUUGGGCAUAGACUAGCUAUGUUUAGCCGAGUAGAAGCUAGGACUGCCGUUUGGUUAAAAUCUAGACCUGCUAAUGUACUGGACCUGUGUAUGGAGGAUCUUCCUCCAGGCUGAGCAAUGAAAUUCCCUUUCACUCCGUAAAAAAAAGGAUAACAAAGAACAUGGCCGAGGCCAAACAGGAAGAGCACGCAGGCUCAACAGUAAAAAAUAACUAGGGACUAAGCCUCCAUAGGAAUGACGCGCAAUACUUCGGAUGUUCCUAUCUUGUCCAUUCUCGUUAGCGUAACUUCAGUGUCGUGCCGUUUCGCCAACGGAGUCCAUUGCUGCAAGUAAACAUGGCGUUUAAAAAGACAAUCAGCUGGGUGCGAGGAGAAGAUCGCUUCGAUGAUGAUUUUGUUCCUAAUCGUCCAAAGUGCCCAAAGCAACGCCCCUACACAGCGCCACAUGAUCCUACGGUUGGAACCAUGCUGGGCGCGGAUAAUGUUAACCAGGUCAGCUCCGAAAGUCGGGUUCCACUGCUGUCACGAAACCUCGCACACCACACUCAGCGCAAAGCAAGCAAGGUGGCAGCAGAAGAAACAUGGUUCGCGUCUUCCUCCGCGCCGCACACAGAACACAAACCAUCAAAGGGCCCUUGCCUCUUUGCGAUGUUGGGCGACGUGGAUAGACGGUUACAGAACAUUUGCCACAGAAAGAUUUUGAUUUUUAGAGGCAAGCAACCUUUCCAUGGGCCCAUAGCUAUGUACAGAACCGGCCCUUGCGUUAGCCUAGCGUACAGGGAUUUGACCAUGAAUUGAUGCUAAAACAUGAGCUCCCAAGAAAUCAUGUCCUGGUCUUCAGAUAUAGUUGCUAAGACUAGCACACAACUCCGCCCAGCAGAUCCCUUCUGCCGGCAAUAGAGAAUGUUUAAAACAAAUGGCCGAAGGCGAGGAGUGUAUUGCCGCUGCCACCAAGAUAUCGGUGUCGGUGGCCAUCACGAAUAGAGAUUGAUAGUGUAUCCAUAGUGGGCCACUGUCCGUCCACGUAUCCAACCAAAGACGGAUUGAUCUACCGUUCUUAACGUGAAACUGGGGACCUAAAGUAAACGUAGGAUUGACAGCCUGGAUCUCAUUCAAGAAGGCCGAGCCACGACACGUUGCCUCAAAGAACGUGCCGUUAGGGAAGUACUUUGCUUUCAACCGGUCCGCCAACAGACCAAACACGUUCUGGGAAAGCUUCCAAAUCCACUUAGUGAGAAGGGCCAUAUUCAUCAUCUUAGAGUUCGUCGAGCCCAAGCCUCCUUGCAUUUUCGGACGACAUACAACAUCCCAUUUCAGCAAAUGGUACUUGCAUUUGAUCCCUGCUCCUUCCCAUAAGAACUUGGAUUGGGGCGUGUCUAGCUUGGCAUGGACACCGUCGGCAUAAAAAAACAUAUAUACCCAUAGUAAACAAGGAGAGAGAGGACAUGCUCGAAGUAGUGAGAAUUAGUCUUGCCCUAGAAGACACGAAACGGCCUCGCCACGGACAAACACUACCCUCCAACUUGGAGUUCAAUUGCUCACAUUCAUUCUGAACUAUUUAUUUUUAUCAAGAUUUCUAAGUUUUAAAUUAUUCGAAUUCAAACAAAAAAUUCAUUGAUUUGUCGAAAGAAUUUACGUUCAUUCAUUCAAACCUAUUUUUUCAUCUAGAUUUAAAUUGAAAAUUAUUCUAAUUCAAAUAAAAAUUCUUUGAUUUGUCUGAAAGAAUUUACGUACAUUCAUUCAAACCUAUUUAUUUUUAUCUAGAUUUAUAAAUUUAAAAUUAUUCGAAUUCAAACCAAUUUUUUUGUUGAUUUGUCUAGAAGAAUCUACAUACAUUCAUUAUGUACUAUUUACUUUUAUCUAGAUUUUCAAAUUUAAAUGAUUCAAAUUCAAACAAAAAAUCAGUGAUUUGUCCGAAAGAAUCUACUUACAUUAACUCAAAACUAUUUAUUUUUAUCUAUAUUUUAAAUUUAAAUUUAUUCAAAUUCAAACAAAUUUUUUGUUGAUUUGUCUGAAAGAAUUUACGAAGUUUUGACAAUUUUGAGGGUGUGCGAAAUUUUGACAUCAUCUUUAACACGCAGGUCAUGGACAUUUUUUUAACAGGGAUGUCGGGCGCUCGUUCUAGAGGAUAUUUGAAUUGAAUUGUGUUGUGUCGAUUUCUAACUCUCGGGUUGGAGCAAAUGAAUUUCGUGACGGCAGGAACAAAACCAAGAUGUCUUCGUUGUACACCAAUCGGAGUUGUUGCCAAAGUAAAUAGUUCGGUUUGCCUCCAUGCGGGAACAUGCAUGUGGUUUGGUGGUAAGCUCAUGCGUGUUACUCUCGAGCAUCAGAGUUAGAAUCCGCAAGGCACUCGUUUUUCUUUCUCAAAUAGCAAUAUGUCCGUGCGUUGCAACGGAUCCAAAAUAAAAUAGUAUUAUGUCAUUCGAAGUAAAUUCUUGGGGUUGUUUUGAUGAGGUGAGAAAGAGAUGUGGUUUGUUUCAAGAUAAUAAGAGGUUUUCUGUAAAUUGGAGCAGAGAAGUGGGCUAUUGUUGCAAAAAUGUCACAACUUACCUCACAACUGUUAGAUAUAGAUCUAAUGGUCAGAAAUGACGGAUGGCAGACACACCAUCAUCAUCAACUGAGUCUUUUAUAGGAGUAGAGAUUUCUCCCCUCUCAGCACGUGCUUACAAGUGGGACCCAGUAGGCUUUUACGUAAUUAAAUAAAAAGUGAGGGGUGUUUCUGCCAAAAAUAACAUGUGCCAUCACACUGGCCUGUUCUAGUCACUGUCGGUGGGCCAUAGCCACGCUGACAUGCCACACAUGCAUGGGGUACAUCUGAAAUUUAUGACCAUAUUUGCAUGCCCGGUAAAGUUAAAUAGCUUAAAACAUGUAUUUUACAAGUUUGUGGAUAAAAUGGUCACCCAAUGCAAGUUUUAUGACGAGGGAAGACUUGUAUAGGAUCUACCCUUAGAUGAGAUCAAUGAGAUCGAUCUAUUUGGAGAUACAAAACAUGUUAAAAAAUUAUGAAAAAAUUUGGAGACACUCAUCCAUCUUUGAUGUACAAGCUCAAAAAAAUUCAGCUCCUAAUUCAAACUACACUUAGAGGACAAAAAAGACAAAAUCAGAUAUGAAUAGUGUCAAAAACUGUUCACCAAAAGCUGACACUAUUCGUAGUCGAAUUUGUCUUUUUUUAAUCUCUAAUUGCAGAUCGAGUUUUGAGCUGUUUUUUUUUUGGGAGUUGUAGACAUAACCCGCAGGUAUGUUGUAAAUUAUUUUCAGAAUUUUUUGAAUUGUCUAAAUACGAAAAAAUUUGGGUUGAUCCUACGAUCUCACCUAAAGUGCUGAUUCAGUGUAUUUAUCUCUUUCUGAAGUGUCUUUUUUUCUCUCUUCGUUUCUGAAUCAUGAGUAACCCGAAAUGGCUAACUUUGUUGCAUUCGAAUCUUCUUGCAGUUUUGUUAUGGAAGCAGGAUUAUCAUGUCGUUCGGAAUCAAAACCAACUAAUGUUUAUUUUCACUUUGUGUGUCUCGGCUUUGGUAUCGCUCCAGGCCUAGAAGCAGAAUUGUAACCCAAACCUGCUGCAGCAAACUGUAGACGGUCUCAACCCCAGUGAAAACAGAGUCCAAACUACUGGUUGGAAAUUAUUCUCGACUAAGGAAUGAGAGACGCUGCGCACGACACUAAACAGAGUCACUCAGUUGGUUCGGAAAAUCAAAGUUCGUUCACUCACAUAGAUCCAAACGUUCAAAGCUUCAGCUGAACAAAUUCAAGCCCUUUCGAAUGGAAGUUCAUACUACUAUUACGUACUCCCUUUGUCCCAUAAUAUAAGAGUAUUUUUUACACUACACUGAUGUUCAAAACACUCUUGUUUUAUGGGUCGGAGGGAGUAGAUUCUAGGGAUCCCACUUAAAGCAGACAGACAGUCUAAAACCCAGACGAAGAAGACAACAACAAAAGCCCAGAUAGGCAUGUCCCCUGGUACAACGACGAUACUGGCAUAAAACAUCUUCCAAACAUCUACUAGUAACUUAGUACUCCGAAAUGAAACGGCGCAUCUCCAAGCUCCAAAAUGAUCCGUCUUCGAUCCUUCGGCAGGCACAUCAACAAGCGCGCAGCGAAGCUAGGCAGCAUCGUUGACAUCCGGGAGGCUGACGAAAACAACGAGCGCAAGUUAAUCACAGCCCAAACUUGAGAAGAAGCGAAGAAUUAAGAGACCAACGCACCACAGAGACUCACUUGGACAAGGCUGAGUGCAGAUUGACGGCAAGAAGCACGAAGGACGCGACGGUGGACUCCGCGUACGAGCGCCGGGCAGCCUGCGUCGGCGCCGUGACAGCCAUCCACGCCAGGGCACAGCCGGACGCGGUGUUCACGAGCACGCAGAACAUCAGGAACAUGUGGCUGCCGAAGAUGGCGCGGAGGCAGGCCCGGUCGUCGGCCGUCAUGGAGACAGCCGCCGCCGUGCCCAGCAGCAGCAGCAUGGCCAGCACGGGCACCGCCAUCUUGACGAUCUUGGCAUUGUUCUGGUUCGCUCUCGCAGCUCCUGCGGCACCCAGCAGAUGGCGGCCUUCAAAGUUCCAGACAAGAAACAAGAAGAUCAAAUCUUUGGUGGCAUGACAGUAAAAUAGCAGAACAAGAAGAUCAUAAGGUGAAACUUGGCGAGUUGCCACUGCUCCUCCAACAAGCAACAAAAAGAAAGCCCAAAUUAAGCCUUUGUCGUGGAAAAUCGGAGGGAAUGCGACUCGUUUCAACCUGACGAGAACGCAAAAGAUCUCCAAAAGGAAACCGCGUCGCUCUACCGUGAAGAAGACGGAGAAAAGGAAACAAAGCAAGAACAUUCAUCCGGAGAUCUUAAGCCCAAACUCCCACCCGAAUAGCUAGCAGAACAAACUAGCAGCAGGGAAAACCAACAAUGAUCAACCAAGAGGGGUAGAUUCAAGCAUACCAUCCAUCUCUCCAGUACUGCUCUUUUCCCUGACCACGGGGAGUUGUGGAGGUGUUGGCGGGGCUCUAUAGGAAAUUGCGGUGGAGCUUUUGGUCAAGAUGAUUCAUGGACAGAUGGCAAAAUUUCCAGUCUGGAGGCAGCAGCAGACGCAGCUUUUUCAGAUUUCAGUUUCUUCUUUUCAGAGCUCGAUCGCCACCCUUUUCUUUUCUGGUUUCUUGCACCUACUCACGCCCAAUUCUCUUACUGGAAUACUUUCUUUUCGGGACAGUAAAAAUCGACUGAUUUUGCUUUUUUCAAAACGCACAUGACGAUUCGCAGUUCCUCACAAGCGACGAAUGGUGGUAGUCCAAAUGAACUGAAACAACAUGACGCCAUCGGUCCACUUUAACGCAUCAUGAAACUGACACAUUGAUUUGAAAUAGUUCGAACAGAAUGGGCUGGUCCUCCUAGAAAAGUUCUACUACUCCGUCUCACAAUGUAAGACAUUUUUACAAGCUAGUUUAGCUUGCAAAAACGUCUUACAUUAUGAACGGAGGGAGUAGUUUGAAGGGUCGGCAAUGGGCAAGAUGUUCGCAUUUGUCGUGACCGAUGAUCACUCGCGAGCCUACAGGGGUUUUUUUUUUGAAAGAUCCAGAAUUGCUGGCGUUUUCAUUGAUCAUAGCAGAAAGCAGUAGAAAACAACAAUGGUGGUGAGGAUCCUAGGAUCAAAGUUUUAGGGAGUGCCACACACGGAAAAAAACCCUAGAAACAAGAGUGGGUUUAUCUCUCAAGGGGGGUCCCCGAAAGGGCUCUCUAAGCAUGCAGCUCCUGUGGUUCUCCAUAGCUCGAUGUUGUCUCUUAUGCGCUUGAUGAUUCCUGCCACGCACGGCAGAUGCUGCCUGAAGGUGCUGUGGUUUCUCUCCUGCCAAAUCUCCCAGCAAGCAAGCCAGCACAGCGUCUGCACUCCCUUUCGCCAUUGGUGUGGGGUCUGCUCCAGGAUGCCUUGCACGAUCGCGGUGGUGCUGUCAUGGCGCCAGCUCUCGGCCAGGGUGAGAGCCGAGCAGCCAUGCCACAGUCCCAGCUCGGCCCACACUCGUCCGGCUUCGUGGCAGCUCCAAAAGAGGUGGCGCGACGACUCCAGGUUUCUGACGCAGAGUUGGCAGAAGUAAGCGUUUGUCCAGCCCCGCCGCUGGAGUCUGUCAUUGCACCAGAGCCGAUCCCGAGGAGCAACCAGGCAAAGAUUUUGAUUUUUCCCGGCGCCCAGGCCUUCCAAACCAGACGGUCAAAAUGGGUCGCCGUUCUACCCUGGAACUGCGCCAGGUACGCCGAUUUCGCUGUGUACUUUCCUGAGCUGGCUCUACUCCACGUCAGGUCAUCCGGCACUCCUGGCUGCAGCUGCGUGUCCGUCCCCUGGAGCAGGCGAUGAAGGGCGAGGACGUCCGGCAGGAGAUGGCGGUUGUUGUCGUGGGCUAGGUCGCGGAUCCACGUGUCGUCACUGAGGGCCUCCCGCACCGAUCUAUUCUUGCGGCGCGAGUAGCUGAACAGCCUUGGGAAUUGCUGCGAGAGGCAGCCCUGGCCGAUCCAUGGAGAGAGCCAGAAGGAGGCCCGAGCCCCGUCGCCGAUCGCAACGCUGGUGGAGGCCGCGAAGAGCGCUUUGUCCGCGCCGUCGCAAGGCAGCUCGGUGCCCACCCAAGGCCGCUCCGGGUGGUGCCAGGCAGUCUAGAGCCAGCGCAGCCGCAGCGCUCUGCCAAAACGCUGCAGGUCAGGGAUGCCCAGGCCUCCUUGCUCCGUCGGGGCGCAGACCGCCGGCCAGUUGACCUUGCAGCUGGCGCCCGAAAUCUCGUCGUCCUGGCACCAGAGGAAACGUCGCCUGCACUUGUCGAUCUCCUUGAGAAUUUUCUUUGGGACACGGAGGACGGUGAGGGCGAAGGUCGGCAUGGCACUCAGCACGCAUCGGACGAGCACGCGGCGGCCGGCCAUCGGUAGCAGCUUGCCCUUCCAGCCCGCAAGCCUUGCCUUGAUUCUGUCGAUGAUGAACUGGAGGUGGACCAAGCGAAGGCGUCCCGUAGAGACCGGCAACCCAAGGUAUUUGAUUGGGAAGGGAGCGAUGGAGCCUGCAAAACCCUGGAGCACCUCCUCGACGUUGAUGUUCUCGCAACGGAUCAGCGAGACCGUGGAUUUGGCCGGGUUGAUGCAGAGCCCCGUUGCCUCACCGAAGUCGCUAAGGAUGUGCAGCAGAGAAUCUACCUCUUCUCGUCUAGGGUUUAUGAAGAUAACUGCGUCGUCGGCAUAUAGGCUUACACGAAGCGCCGGGUCGCGGCCUGGAGAGGCGAUGUAACAGCUGCUGAUCUACCGCCGUCGUGAUGAGGUGGUGCAGUGGGUCGAUUGCCAAAAUGAAGAGGAAGGGGGAGAGCGGGUCUCCCUGGCAUAACCCACAGUGAUGAAGGAUGCUUGGGCCAACCGAACCGUUGAGAGAGACCGCUGAAGAAGCCGAGACGAGCAGGCGAGCCACCCAGUCCCGCCAUCGCGCACUAAACCCUAGCUGUUGGAGCAGCUCCAGCAAAUAUUCCCAGGAGACGGUGUCGAACGCCUUCGCUAUAGGAGGUUUGAUUUCGAGCAAAGGAAGGUGCAGAUUCAAAUGGGUCUAUAGUUAAACUUCAGCAAUAUUAUAGCAACUCCAACCGGGUGACCCAUUUUAUCCGUUUGGGUUGUCCGGACAUAAACACGAUCCAACAGGGCGACCCAAACGCACACUGCGUUCGUCUGCUGUCCGUUUUGUGUCCGUUCAGACUCAUAUCCAGCCCAAACUUGAGGCACAAUUGGGUCAAAAGCGGACACAAAGUGAACGUUCUCCGUGCCUUCUUCGUCCGCCUCUGUCCGGUUGCAUGUGCCGCUUGGCCCACUUGCCAUCCACCCACCCGUCCCAUCUCAUCUCUCUUCUCCUUUUCCUCUCUCUUCUCCCACCCACCCGCUCACCCCGCUCGAGAGCUGGAGCGGCGCUGGCCUGCCCCCCGUGCCUCGCCUCCCCCACGCCGCUUUGCCCUCGCGCGCUAGGCCCCGCGCACGUCGCUGUGCCGCCCGGCCGUCCUCUUGCCUGGUCGUACCCGGCCUCCCCAGCUUGCCGCGCGCCAGCUCUGCACGCCUCGUCACCAGCCCGCUCGCCUGCCGGCUUCACGGGUGCGCAACCCUCCCUCUCUUCGGCGCUCUCCUUCUCCUCGACCUCCUAGUUGCUCUCGCGCUCCGUCUUCGCCCCGGACCUCUCCACGCCCCGGGGCACCGGAGGCCGAGGCGGUGGGUCGUCGCCACCGGCGUGCGGGGCGUCGCGGGGGUGUUGGCGGCCUCGUCCUCUGUGCCGGCCGCGUCCAUGUUGCUGUGGGGACAGCGGCGCCAUGCUGCUCGUCACCGCCGGGGCCUACUCCCUCGUGCGCCGCCAGUCGAACUCUACGACCGAGAGCCGCUCCUUGACCUCCAAGGUCGUCCAGACGCGCUGCGGGGAGCUCACCCGGUCACGCUCCGAGCUUCUGGCCGCACCUCGGGCCGCGCCCGGCCGCGCCUGCUCUUGAGCGCUCGGCCGUGCUCCUGGCCGCGCCCGCUCUCGAGCUUCUGGCCAUGCUUCGGGCCGCGCCCGUCCACUCUAGCCCCGCUGCUUCCUGCUCGAGCUGCACGGGCGCUUGCUUCGCCGGCGGAACCAGCCGCAGAGGCAACAAAUGGGUCCGCCGCAUGUCUUUGCGUUGGGUGUAUCUAUCGUCCUCGCGUGUCCGUCGCAUGUCUGUUAAGCGGACGAGUGACCCAAACAGACAAAAAAACAAACAAAAUAUGUGUCGGGUCCAUGUGUUGGAGUUGCUCUUACUUACCGGUUGGCAGAUGGGUAAUGGAGGGAGUAUCGGUGGAUUUACAGUGGAGUAGCCUUCCAGUAAAUCAAGAUAUGCGUUUUUUAUCAGAGAAGAUAGUAUAGAGGAAUGUAGUUCUUGUAUUAUUCAUAUCUGUCCUAGUAAAAAAUAUGCUAAUCAUUUCAUGGCAAACUUUGGUAGAAACUUUAGUAGAAGGCUGAACCGCUGUCUGGCUUGGAUCAGGUCUAGAGGAGGUCUUGGGGCCUUGUCAGACGUGGUUGUAAUCCCUACUAUCUCCUCUCCGUCUUGGUUUAUUGGUUCCUUUCGUAUUUAGUGUCAAAUUUUGAUCAUAGAUUUAACUAAUAAAAUGUCAAUGCAUGUUGUAAAAAAUAAUAUCACUAGAAACUAUGUUCAAAUACGAAUCCAACGAUGUAAUUUUUAUUAACACGCAUUGAUAUUUUGCUAGUUAAAUUUAGGGUCAAAAUCUGGCACAAAAUAUUAGAAGGCCCAAUAAACCAGGAUGGAGGUAGUACGUUCUGAGCAACACAAAAAUUAUUUCGCAACAAAGAAAACACCACGGAUUCCAAAGUAUGAUAUCAACACAAACUAAAAUUAGUAGCAAUUGCAAAUGUUCAUCACAGAUAAUAGGGCCAUGAUUAUGAAUAGUUCACUUAGAAGACCCGUGCUAAUUGACCGUGAAUCCAUGUUAGCUUACCUUCCAAACUGAAACAACAAAUGGAAAAAAGCAAUAGCUCUGAACGAUGUAGAAAAACAGUAGAACUAGAAUCAGGCUAUUUCUUUCUGUAUGUCUAACUAUGAUCCUUCCAAAAUAGAUGUGCCAAUCUACAUCCUCUGAGAAUUGGGUGUAGAAGGUACUUCAGUGUACGACACAAUUACCAAUACUUGAUUCUUCAGAGUAAGGUUCAGAAAAAACAAACUACAGUGCUCCGAUUUCAGGUACGAUAAUCAAUAUCUCAAGAUUGCUUCCCUUAGAUAACUCCUAUUACAACUUGGAUCUCUCCCUAAGAAUCACUGUAAUCAAUGUUGUGAAUAAGACAUUCUGAUUCAACAUGACAUCCUGACAAGCUAACAGCAUAAAACAAACAAAACAAAACAGAGUUCUUCAAUGCUGACUCCAGUGUAAUAUCUACUCAAGAACUGAAGGGCGUUAGCAGGAUAUGUACAAUCAGGAACUGAAAAGGGGUCCGUGCUGUCCAUAUAUAUAUGUAUAGCACUGCAACAUCCAAAAUUCAGGCAAUGCAGGCACAAAAGUUUGAUUCAGGCCACAAAAACAAUCCAACUGCCUAGCCAACAGUAGAUAUCUCGCUCGGUGUUGAACAGAUGCACGAGCAAUCAGUUUCAUUAGUGCCUCUUUCAACUAGGCGUUUGUUCCGGUUAAUCAACAGCUUGAUCAGUGGUGCUUUCAAGGAAACUUGGCGCCAUAUUUGAUUCACUGGUCCAUUCGGAUCUUCAUACUCAAAGUAAUGUUUUACCUGCAACAAAUAUCCAAGGUUCAGCAAAUAAACU